UAGAUUCAACUUUCACUAGUUGAGAACGUGGGAUUUCUGUGUAUUUUUGUUCUUCAUGAUUUGCUUCAAAUUGUUUUAUUGAAGUGCUUUUAACAAAUAGUACCUUGUUAGAUUCUUAACAGAAAAUUGUUCUCAGUAAACUUUAUUUUCUGUUAACUUUUAACCAAAAAAAAAAACACAAAAUGCAAAUGAGAUUGGAAUACCCGCUCCGAAAUCCAUCACCAUGGUAUUUGGGUAUGGAAAUUAAGCAUUCAUAAUAGGGAUGUUGUUCCGUGGAACACAUCAACAAGAUUAACAUAAUAAAAGUAAUGUUCAAAAGUCUUACUCAGAAAAUGUAUUUGACAACCCAGUUUCUUGAAUUCUUCUUACAUCCGUUAGCUUUGCAGAACUUUUUAGGCCGUUGCUUUGAUUUUUUUUUUUUUGUUUAAACUUUUUUGUUGCUGCAAAUCUGUAUAUAUAAUUGUUGUUAUAAGUUAAAUGAUUUGAAAAUAUCUUGUAUCUAUAUUCUAAGAUAAGAUACACCGCAUGUCAAUACCCUAUAUUCAAUGUUAUACUAUAAUUAUCAUAUGACAUGUAUGAUUAUCGUAUGUCUUGUCUACGAGAAUAACGAGAUUAUGUUUGUAGACGUAUUUGUUUGGUAAAUUCAUAAUCCAAGCUCAUGUUUUUAAAAGAAAAAUAAAUUAUCGAAAUAUGUGUGCAUUUACCUUAAACGUCUUUUAUUUUGAUAUAGAGGUCCUACAUGAAAUUUACUUGCUUAAAAACUACAAAAGAAAGAAAAACCUUUCAAGUCACCAUUUUUUGCAACUUUAUCCUAUAUACUAGAUCAUAACCCGUGCUGAAACAGCACAUAUGAAAUUUUAAUUUUUAAAUAUUUAUAUAAAGUUGGAUUAUUGUUUGUUUUAUAGUACAAUUUUGAUAAUUCUUUACAUAAUACAAUCACAUAUAAGGAUUAUUUUAUUUUAUUUUAUUUUGUUUGAUGAGAAAAUAUUAGGGGUGGGGUACGGUUUCUCGGUUUAGUAUCAUUUUUUCGUUUUGUACAAAGUGAAACCAUAUAGAAACCGUAUGUAAUUCGGUUUAGUUACAGUUCGAUUUUUACGGUUUUUUUAUGUUUUGUUGGUUAAAAAUUAAACGUAUGUAUUUGAUAUAUGCUAGUAGUAAGUGAAAAAAGUUGCGUAUAUAAUAAACAUAUUUUGGUAUAUAAUAAGAUUAAAUUCAACCCGUGCGUACCUAUAUUUUUAUUUUAGAAUCCCAAUGAAAAAUUGUGUGCACAAUCCAUCAUUCAUUAGUUUCAUAUAUACUUAUAGAAUCAAAAUUUUAAAUAUUUAGAGGUGUCAAACCUUAUUUAACUCAUCUCAUGAUAUAAUCUUAACAUAGUUUCGGUUAUAAAGAUCAUAACUCUUUUUAUCAUAUAAUACAUUACAUUUAACGUGCUGCUUGCUAUAAUGAUUAAUAACAAAUUAAUAAGGUAAGUUAGAUAUCAAAUCUUAUAUAUUCAUUUUGAUUGGUCAUUUAAAAAUAAAAAUAAUAAUGUAUUUUUCGUUUUUAUAAUUAAAUUAAAUUAAUUAAAUUGUAUAAAUUGACUUGUUUAUCCUUAAUGAGAUGAAUUAAUUUACUCUUUGAAAUUUUAUUUAUAAUGGUAUUCUUAAGUAAAUUCUUACAAAAGAGAAGGUUAGUUAAGAGUAUCUUAUAAAGUGUACUCCCCAAAUAAUAGUAUAGGAUUCAAAAAAUGCAAGUUAAUCUUAUGAAUUCAAAAAUAAUUCAUAAUAACAUAGAUUCCUACAUAGAUUUUUAUCCUAUAUUUAAAUUUCAAUCUACUCGUUUCAUAUAUAGAUUCUUUUUUUGAAGAAAUUAUAAAUUAUAAGUUUAUUUUUUUCUCGAAAGAAAAAUCAUGUAUCCUUGUUUGGACCGGGUGGAGCUUCAACAAUACAGGCUCAAACUUUUUACGGACUAGGUCGAACUCAAAUAUAUGCGGGUUUUGCGAGCUUUGGGCCAGUCCGGGCUAACCCGAUUGAUAUACCGAAAAGGAAAAAAAGUUAUUUGGUUUGAAGUUAUUUGAGAGGAAAAAACACUUAUGAUAGCUCAACUUUUGUGAGCAAUCGAAUCGAAUCAAAGAGAAUAUAGAAUUAUCGACUGCAAAAAAGUAAUCAAUAAGUAAAUAAAUGUUGCUUUGCCUAUAUUUUUCUCCAAAUUGUUUUUAGAAAGAUAUCAAAUUAGUUUUAAAUUUUUUUAAUAGUUUACCAAAAAUUUUAAAAGUCAAAGGAUAUAAUAGGAUUUUAAUUAUAUCAAAACAUAUAUGACCAAUAAAAUGAAUGCAUAGAUAGAAAAUAGUUUAAUUUUCCCUAACUAGAAUAGGCAAAAUUUAGGUUGAAUAUCAAAAUGAAAUCAAAUAAUCAAUCAAAAAUAGAAUUGCAGUCAACGACUUGAUUUGAAAUUUUUUCUGAUAUUUCCUUUUUUUGUUUUUGGCAAUUCGUCCCCAAAAUUUUAAAAACCCGCCUCUUCAAUUUUCGGCUCCCUCUCAUAAAAAAACCCACUCUCUCUAGAAUCUUCUUCUCUCCAUAUCUCUCGAUUCACGGAAACACCUCCGAUCUUCGGAAUCGCUCAUCGAAAUGGCGCGUGACAACCAGCUUCCAGGCGACGGCGACGGUGUAUCCACGCCGGAGGAAUCCCUCACUUACCGCACGUGCGAUACCCCUUCGCACGUGACCUGCGUUUCAUCUCCUCCUCUUGAUCGCUCCGGCGAUGUUGAUCCUCUUCCUGUUUCCGGCAUCGGGGGACACGAAUCUGGUGGCUCAAAGGCCGAUGAGUCUAUGAUUGACACAGAUGAGACUAAAAAGAGGAAACGGUUACUCAGUGGUGAGGAAAAGAGUGACGGAGAAAUCGCGAGUGUCGAUGACGGUGUUGAUGUGUUUGCUGCGAUUUGUGAAGACUUGAAUUGUUCUUUGUGUAAUCAAUUGCCUGAUAGACCCGUUACGGUUCGUUCUCUCUCUCGCCUCUGUAUUUUGCCUCUUAUGCUUGUUAAAGUUAGGGUCUUUUUUGUGAUUGUGUUGUAAAUUUGGACAUAACUUAGAGUAAUCUUAUAGAGAGAAAUGGUUAGUCAAUCAAUAAUAAAGGCGAAUACCCUUUUAGCGGCUCUUUAGGGGAAAAUGUGAGUCUCGAUGUUGAUGUGUUAGUGAAAACAUGAAUUGUUUUUGCUAGGUUCGUGUGUUGUCUUGGAUUCUUUCACCAGUUUUCAUAUCUUUUUGUGAAACUGUUAAAUCUCGAAUCUAUUUUAGUGUUUCUCCUUAUUUGUCGAAUCUAAUUACAAAGGCAUAGACUUUAUUUACACUUGAGUUGCUAAUUUGGGCAAUUUAGCAGUUGAAUCUAUCUUUUUGCUGUUGUUAUAUUGCGAAGGCAUAGACUUUAUUGUGCAAGUGUUUACAUUUUGUGAUAAACUUUGUAUAUAAGUCAAUUUUUUUCACCUACAUUUAUAGAUAACAGAUUUUGCCAAGUUCAGUUAUGUACAAGAAUGAGAUGCCAUUAUGUAGUUAAUACUUGUUUAUUUAUCCUUUUCUGGUUGGGAGUUAUCGUGGUAACAAAUCUAUUGUAUUGUUGAAAUUUGUUGAUAGUAGUAUGUGUGCACUUUUCUUGAAGUUUGAUUUAUUCUAUUUUGGUGUUUCUUUGUUAUCCAUGUUUGACGAGUUGGUGUUCUUGUCAAUGAUAAACAUUAUUGUAUAUGAUUGUUUUUUUUUUUUUUUGAGUAUUAACUUCUUCUUUUCAGAAUAAGUAUUUUUGACAAAGAUGAAGACUAUUAAAGUAAGGCCGAUGGAUAAUCUUGUAUGUGUUUUUUUUUUCAGACACAAUGUGGGCACAACUUCUGCUUAAAAUGUUUUGAGAAGUGGAUUGAUCGAGGUAAUGAAACGUGUGCAAAAUGUCGUAGCCCAAUUCCCGAUAUAAUGGCAGGCAAUCCUCGUGUUAACUCGUCCCUCGUGCCUGUUAUCCGUUAUGUAAAAGUUGCUAAAGGUGCUGGUGCUGGAACUGCAAAUUUUUUUUCUUUUACAAGCAACCAAGGUGGUCCAGAGAAUGCUUUUAGAACCAAGCGCGCAAAAACUGGGAGGGCGAAUGCUGCAUGUGGAAGGAUAUAUGUUACUGUACCAUUUGAUCAUUUUGGUCCUAUACCAGCUGAAAAUGAUCCUGUUAGGAACCAAGGUGUUUUAGUUGGAGAAUCCUGGAAGGAUCGAGUAGAGUGUCGGCAGUGGGGGGCUCACUUUGCACAUGUUUCUUGCAUUGCUGGACAAUCAGACUACGGAGCUCAAUCUGUAGCAAUCUCUGGAGGUUAUAAGGAUGACGUGGAUCAUGGAGAAUGGUUUCUAUUCACAGGAAGGUUUGUUUUUCAUUACCCCCUAGCUUUUGGUCCAUUUGAUCUUCUAUAAUUUAGUUCUCUCAUGUGUUUAGAAGUAGCUAUUGUCCAAUUUGCUUUCAGACUUUUGUCUCUUUACGUCUUGAAAAUAUGCAAAUACGCGGAUGUGUCACACAGGGGAAGGAGAAAUUUCAAUAACGAGGAUCAGGAGUUUGAAGAAUUGAAUGAAGCUUUAAGAGUUAGUUGCGAAAUGGGGUAUCCAGUUCGAGUUGUCAGGUUAGCUUUUAUUCGAGCAGAACAGAACUCCGUUGCUCUUAAAAUUGCUUCCUUGAUUGAAUAAAGAAUAGAGUUAUGCUAAGCUUGCUGCAGUUAUCCUCCGAAUUACCGGGGUGUUCCUUAGAUACACCUCAUAAUUUGAGUUACCUUAAACUAGGUCUUACAAGGAGAAGCAUUCUGCAUAUGCCCCUGAGGAAGGAGUGAGAUAUGACGGUGUCUACAGGAUCGAGAAAUGCUGGCGAAAAGCUAGAUUCCAGGUACACAUAUAGUGAAACAACCGUAGUUUUUUCCCUGUUCUUUUUAUGCAUUGACCUGUAACUGUUCUUCUCAUUUCCAUAGGAUUCCUGUAAGGUCUGUCGUUACCUGUUUGUGAGAUGUGACAAUGAGCCAGCUCCAUGGAACAGGUUCGAUCUACGUCUUGAAAGGGCCUUUUCGAUAUAGUUCUAUUUUGAGUCUAAUACUGUGAUAAUAUUGCAGUGAUGAGAAUGGAGAUCGUCCAAGACCUUUGCCUGAUAUCCCAGAGCUUGAAACGGCCACAGACCUGUUUGAGAGAAAGGAAAGUCCAUCAUGGGAUUUUGAUGUAAGUUCCAAUUAUAACAGUUAGCGAGUGAACAGAUAUCGAAUUUUCUUAAUUCUUAUAAUAUACGCUUAUGAAAUCAGGAAGCUGAGGGCCGUUGGAGAUGGAUGAAGCCUCCACCUGCUAAUCAUGAGCAGAGGAAGAGAAUGAGGAUCGCUAUGACAUGUCUUCUCCUUUUUGUCAUGAUCAUUUUUGUUGGUUCAUCAUCUAUCUUAUACCGGGUUUAGAAGAAUCACCGGCAAAUAACUUGUUCUUUUGGUUUGAUGAUCCCUUAAUUAUCUUCUUGUACCAAAACAGUCUUCUCUAGUUCUCUCACUACUCGUCUUGGAUACUUGAGGUUCUAUGGUAUGAGUUGGGACACAAUUUUUGUAUGCUUUGUUCCGUCAAUUUGUCCUGUUUCUUCAACAGGCGCAUUGAUGUUUUUAAACAUAAUGAUCAACUCUUUAUAUAAAUUACUAGAUUUGAACCCGUAGUACACUGCUGGGCUAUAAUUUUUUUAAAAAAAUUCUAAAUAUAAUUAGUUUUGUUUAUUAAUAGAGAGUAUAAUAUAAUAUUUCGACCUAUUUUAUAAAUGUCUCAUCCAUAUAUCUAUAUUAAUAGUUUUGAGUAUAUUAAUUGUGUUUUAGGUUUAAACUAGAUCCUCACCCGCACGUACGUGCGGGGUUUCAUAUUUUAGGAAAAUAUUUUUUUUUAAAUAAUGGGUUUUAAAAUAUAUUAUGUAUUUACUUUUGUGUUUGUAAAAAUUAUAAUAUAUAUAUAUUAAGUGAGAUUAUUUUGUUGGUUUUUUAUAGAAAAUUUGCAACUGACAUUUAUUAUCUGUCUGAUUCAUUACAAUUUUAGAGUAAUUGUUUAUUUUAAAUAUUUGUAUGUGUUUGUUUGAAAAAACUAAAACUGGUUACAGUGAUCAAAAGAUAAUUUUUACAUUUAAAAAGACAUGUGUAAUAGUUAGAAUAGGUAAAUUUUUAUUUUGAAAGAAACUUAAAUUCAUAUAAAUUGUAUUUGUAUAAUAACUAUAUGUUAAUGUUGUUGUUUAUUAAAUUUUAUUACAAAAUUCGGAAAUCCUCUAAAACCAUAUGCUAAUUAAUGGCCCAAAUAUUUUUUCCGAUCUAGUUUUAAUGGGCUUUUAAAAUAUUGUAUUAGGCCCAAUCGUGAUAUCGUGAAGCCAUUUAGUGUUCCAUUUGUUUUUUUUUGUAUUUACCGUAAUACUGCAUAUUAAUGUAUUUGGAUUUGUUGUAAACAACUCGUUGUCUUAUACAGAAAAAAAAAAAAAAAUCACCGAACAAAACGAAGAUCAUCGAUCGAUCUCCAGAAUCAAAUGCGAUAUUCUCAUAAGAACAUCAUUACUUCGUCUUCUAUUAUACCUCUGGUGGCUUUCAAUUCGUGAAUUCUACGAAGAGAUAAUCUUUUUAUUAAAUCAAAUUUACCUUUCUACAGUUUUUGCACAUGUCGGUUCAAUCUUCAAUCUUUAAAAUUUUCUGUUUUAAUCGUAUAGAACCGCCAAGGAUUGUCAAGAAGCCGGAUCUUAUAUGGGUAAUCUAUAUUUCUUAAGGCUGAUUCGAAAUUAGGUUUUGAUAGAUUUUUUUAGGUUUUUAUACCGAAUUUGAUUUACUGUGGUUUUGAAUCGUUAUAUAGAGUAGCUCUGUAAAUAUUUAAUUUCGAGUAUCCGUAGCUUUUUUUAGUUUGAAAGGAAAAAAUUGAGAAUAUUUUGUGUAUACUGUGUUUUGAAUUUUUAAUUUUUUAGUUUGUGUAUUCAGGUGAAGGAUGAUUAGCAAGUAAUUUCAAACAAUGGAGGAGACAAUGGGAUUUUGUCGCAGCUUUUCAGAAAUAUAUGUGUCAAAGGUUAGUAAUUCCUUCUUGCAGAUUUUUGAUUCUUUAAGAAUGUCUUCUUGGAUUGCAACUGCUAAUCCAUCAGGUGGUAAACUAAAAAGAGUAUAAAGCAUAUGUUAAUUUAGUACUAUACCUCUUUCAAAAUAACUUAUAGGGCAUAAAUAAAUAUUUAGUUUACAUAAGUAGCAACAAACUCUUUGAUUUCUAGCAAAGACAUUUCAAAGACAUUUGAAAUUGAUCUUUCACCUGUUAAAAGUAAGGUGAGUUAGUAUAACUAUAGAAGAAUAGAAACUCAAUCGUAGUAUAGAUUAACUUUUAAGUACCUUUAAAGGUAUUGCACUUAGCAAGUCGAAUCAAGCAUAUAACCUUGACAUUGCCUACAGUCUCACAUGCAUUCCACAUGGUUUCAGCAAAUCGUUUCCAAAGAGUACUUGUCAAUUGGUCAUCACUACAAACAAAGAUUUUUUCAUUAAUCAACUAUUUCAAACUUUCAAGAUAGUCGAAAUAGGGUGGUGAUAAAAGAAAUAGAUCGAAUACCUGGAGUCUCGCAGUUCAUACUCAAGUUCCUUAGUAGCCUUGUUAGCUACAUCCAAAGUGUUCAUCUCUCCCAAACUCACGACCUGGCCAAUUACAUCUUAAAUAACAUAUGAGCAUCUUAGAUAGAUUAUAAGAGAAAUUAGAUUAUAUGCAAGAUAAAGCUAUAACUAAAAAUAUAUACCUAUCAAGAUAUUCUCAUUCAAUCCUGAUUCAUUCAAAAUAUCUUGAAAGUUUGCAAAAUCGAAGAGCAUAUCAUCUGAAAGAGAAGAACACCUAGUGAUAAUAGUCUGUUCAUGAGGGACAUAUUGAAUCCAUGUUUGGUAGCUUUGUACUUUCCCAGAGAUUUUGAGAGAGUAAAAUUUUCAAUAAAUCUCCACUCUCCAGACUUGAUAAACGUUGUUCAUCUGUUGUUUCUUUAUAGUAGCAUGAAUCAAUGUACCCUACAAAAUUCACAUUUGUAGUAAACAAAACAAUACUACUUUUUAAAUAUGAAAGGUUUGAAGUUAGGAAGUUAAAAUACUUACAGAAACAUCAGCAAGAAUCAUUUCCAUUCACUUAUUUUCCACAUUGUUUAAAAAGAAUGUCACGUUAGCAAGUGGUGAUAGGAAAAUUUGCAGCCUUUUUUUUGACGAAAAAAAGAAGAAGAAAUGAAGUUAAGAUUUGAAAGAUUGUGUGUUGUGAAAGUGGAUUACCGAGUUUACUAUAUAUAUUAUUAACAGAUACAACUCUCACUUUUAGGGUUUAAUUUUGUGAAUAUGGAAAUAUAUUUGUGUAACCGUAUUUCUUAGAAUCAUUAAUCGAAUAUGCUUGAAAUAUUUUGUGCUUUUGAAAUUAGGGAAAUAUAAUAACUGAGAUUAUAGAUCUUAUUGAAAACAGUUGCUAUAAAAUUGGUUGUGUUCCGUAUAUUUGGGGAUUUAAUUUGUUGAUUAAAUUUGCAACUUUCUUAAAAACAGUUUUGCGAAUAUUUGUAUAUUUAUUGAUUUCAACUGAUUUUUUUUGGCAAUUAUUUCUGUUGAUUGUUUUGGCAACUUUUUUAAUGAUUUUUGCAAUUAUUUUCUGUAACAGCACUGGAGAAUAUCAGAGUAAAAUCUUAAUGAUUUGUUAACCCAAACGGAUCGAAUCGAGGAUCCGCGUCGGGACCGUAUAACGCUGGAUAGGAUCCGCGUCUUUAUCCGAAAAGCAAACCAGGAUCCGCGUUAUGUACCCUAUCAAUUUGUCCAAUUUAACCUUAUCCGAAUUUUUUAAUUUAUUCUUUAACUACAAAAAUACCAAUGGCAUUCUUCGUAAUAUUCUACAAACUAAAGGUUAUUUUAUAUUUAGUGAUUCCCAAUUAAUAGUAUAGAUGGUAUAUCUAUAUAUACACUUAAACGACAUUUGUCUUUCUUCUUCUUCUUGCCUCAGUUUAGGAGAAAGAUUUUUCUUGCGGUACACCGCGGAACUAUUAUUUUUUAAAAAAAUUUUUUCUUCCUUAAACUUCCAAAUCUAGAUUUUACCCCACGGUACACCGCGGGUCGAUUUUUUUAUAACUAAAAAAUUAUUUUGCAAAAUUUUAAGUUGUAUUUGUUUUGUUAAUAUUGUUUAUUUUGUUUAGUGUUUCUGAUUUUAUAAUUAAAUUUUGAUUUUUAAUUCUAGGAUUUCAUCCAUAGUAUAUUGUUUAAUAUUAAUAUUGAUCUAAACCCGUUGCACCAUAUAACCCAGUCCCGUAAAAUUAAACAUCAUUUGUUAUUUUUUUUGAAUAAUAUUUUUAUCCACUACGGGUCGCAGGUUCAUGCGGAUAAGCUCGUAGAGAGUUGCGGGUUUGCGGGUCGACCCGCCAAAAGAGAAGCUAUCUUUUGAAACCCUUUGUUUUGUUUAGAGGUUUUAAGAAAAUAUCCCUAAAAAAUAAUUUUCAUUAUAUGAAAAAAAAGAAGUAGAAGAAAUUGUAGUAUCAACAUUCCCGAUUUUUAUAUCACUCGUUACAAUUAAUUUUUUUUUGCAGAUAAAAAUCAGAAGUUAACUAAGUCGAGAUUUUUAAAAAGAUUGUGUAUAGAUUUUUGGUAAAUUGUUGAGAACAUAUUUGAUUUCAAAAUCUUUACUUAAAUAGAUAAGGAAAGAUUUUGUAGAGACUUUUGCUAAAUAUAUGAGAAAUGAAUUUCAAUUAAAAAUAUUUACUUAAAUAAAAUAAAUCUAAAUAAUUAAUGCUAAUGGCAUGUCAUUGUAAAUACUUCUCAACUUCAGGAUUUAUUUGCUAAUUGUGAUCCAAAAAUGUAUAUAUAGAUGUUAUUCGGUGAAGUUUUUAUUUUUUUUGACCAAAUAUGAGACUGUAUAACCAUGUUAAGGAAUGUCCAGUUUCUUAUAGCCAAACAAGAGUUAGUUACAUUUAUACUAUAUCAUGCUGAUAACAGUAUUUGAUUGUUCGGUAGGAUUUGGUUUUAGUUGGAAAUCGAAUUAUGAACCCAUACUUAUUCUUUAAGACCAAAAGAAUCUUUCAAAGAUUAUUCUUUAAGCACGCCAAGUUUAUUUUCGGAAUAAUUAGAUUGUAUGUCCUAAAUUAUAUUAGAAAUUUGAAAUGUAUACUAAAAUUUUAAAAAUUCGAUAUGAAUCUUCUUCUUUUUCUAAAAAGACAUUUUUGUCCUUAAUUAAUAACCGAAAAUUCCAAAAACGAAAAUAAAAUAAUUUGAUUAGUUAGUUUUUACAAAUAUUAUUUAAAAUUCAAAAUUAAACUUCAUAUUAAAAAAUUAUAUAUUCAAAAAAUUUAUUAUUAUUUUGUGAAAAUCUUAGAUAAUAAUGAAACUAAAACUAAUAAUCAUGAUAUAAACGGUGACUUUUAAUUAUAUAAUAAAUUAUCAAGAUUUUGGGUUGAUGUAGUAAAUAUUUUGGAUAAUGUUUGGUUUAAUAUUAACUACGAAUUUUAAUUAUAUAUAAUUCAAAAAUAUGUUUUAGAUUUUUCAUAGUUAAUAUUUUUGAGAUAUAUAUAUAUAUUAGAAAUGAUAUGUUGCUUAGUUGGAUAAACCUUCAAUGAUAUAUUGCUUAGUUGGGUUAGAUAGAUUCUUAUAUUGAAGCAAUUUUAACAAGUUGAAUUUUGUGAAAUGUGAAGGUUUUUCAAUUUUAGGAGCUGCUCUUGCUUAGAGAGCAGUUAAAGAAUCUAUCUAUAGGAUGGUAAAUGGGACACCAAUGACACAAGACAAUCAACCUGCAGUAUCUUCUUUCAUGUCUAAUGAAAGUGCAGAAACAUUAGCUCUUGGAUUAUGUGAAAUGCGUGGAGCUGCUCUUAAAUUUGGGAAAAUAUUGAGUAUACAUGAUGAGGGUCUUGUUCCUGCUCUGGUAAAUAGCAAAUCCGAACCAUUAUCGUUUUGUGGAAGCUGAAGCUGUGUGGAAAUAGUUUUGGGAUUAAAGAGAUUGUUGAGUAGAGGAAGAUGAGGAAAAUAUUUGUUAAGAGUAAGAUAAGUUCGUCGUCGUCAUAGAUUUCAAUCGUCAGCUCCUUCGGCUUGUAGCUUGCAGGUUUUCCACAGGUAGAGUCUGCAGCUAAUGCUUCGUCAAGAGUUUGCUACAAUUUUCCAUCGACACGCAAAUUACAAAUCCAAAAUUGGCUACUUAGAUGCUGGUUUCAGAAAUUUAGGUAGACCUUCCUAAACUUCAGGGACGUCUUCCUUAACAUUAUGAAAUUCUUCCUAAAUUUUAAGAAUGUGUUUUUGAAUCUCUUUAUUUAUGUUUUGUAAUGUAUCAAAGAUUACUCCAUCAGUGAAGCGUAAUGUACAUACAAUUUACAAAUCCAAAGUUGGCCACAUAGAGGUUGUUUUCAGAAAUUUAGGUAGACCUUCAUAAACUUCAAUGAUGGCUUCCUAAACAUUCUGAAAUCCUUCCUAAAUUUUUAAAAAUGUGUUUUUGAAUCUCUUUGUUUAUGUUUUGUCAAAUGUAUCACAUAUUACUCCAUUAGUGAGGGGUAAUGUAUCACAAACUCAUCUAUGUCCCAACUUUAGGAAGGCAAGCUACUGUGAAGUUAUAAAAUCUCCUUUUAUGUCAUAAUGUGUUUCGUGUUUCAUAGAAAUAUAUACGUUCGUUUGUACAAGAUCUUAUAAUUAGAAGCUUGGCUCACUGGUUACAUGUUUUAUUACAAAAUCAAUAGGUCCUGGUUUUAAUCAUGGUGGAACUAACUAUUACAGUUUUUUGUUUAGGGAAGUCCUUCCUGAAUUUCAAAAAUUGUUUACUUUUGCAUAGUAUGCCUCGUAUUAAUCACAAAUUACACAUUUUUUGAGGGUCAAUGAUCUAUAAAAUAUCUUUUUUUUUAUCAUGAUGUGUUUCGUGUUUCAUAGAAAUAUAUACGUUCGUUUGUACAAGAUCUUACAAUUAGACGCUUGGCUCACUGGUUACAUGUUCAAUUACAAAAACAAUAGGUCCCAGUUUUGAAUCCUGGUGGAAGUAACUAUUACAGUUUUUUUUUUUUUUUAGGGAAGACCUUCCUGAAUUUAAAAAAAUUGUUUACUGUUGCAUAGUUUGCCUCAAAUCUUUCACAAAUUACACAUUUAAGAUGCAAAGGAUAUGCUGAGAGCAUUAUGUUGUUAAAAAACCACAAUUUUUUCAAAUAAUGAAAUGUGCUUUUCAUCUCGGAUUCCCAUUUACCCGAAUCACCAGUUAGUUCAACAAAUUUUUCUUCGAUCCUUCGUUUACCAGCAGCUAAUGGUACCCUAAUCGUAUAGUCUUCCGCUUUUAAUUCAGCGAUUACAAGCUCUAGAAAAAUUCGAGUUGUUCUAGACGUCCAUUUAUGCUAACCACAUUUUAAAAUUUUAAAUAAUCACAAUUAUAUUUUAAGAAAUAUAUAUAGAUAAAACUAUAAAAUGAUAUAAAGAAAAUAUUAAUAAACAUACAUUGCGUCUUGUACCGCUUGCACUUCUACUUGAUGUUCCUUCACCAGCAUUCGAUCGUCCUCUACCGACUGUUCCGCGACGACCUCUACUACGUGUUUUAUCUGACAUGCUAGUCAUCUUCAUAAUAUAUAAUAAAAUUAGUAAGAUCUAAAAUCAUUAGUUAAACAAUUUCUACUUAAAAAUUACUUGAAUCUUUCCAUAUUAUAGAAAUUGUACUACUUAAAAUAUAAAACACUUAAAAAUAUUCUAAUCAAAACAAUUUUUAAUUUUUUUUUUGGCAUCGAACGUUCUUAAUAUAUAUAAAUAUAUAUAUUAUUCCAACAAAAUUAUUAAUUAUAUAAAAUAAAUAAAAUUUUAAGAUAUAUAUAAUUUGACUCAUUCAAAAUAAGUGCUAACAAUAAAAACAAAAAUUUCCUUAAUUAGUGCUACAAAAAUAAUUAAUUAAAAUAAAUUAUAGAAAUGAAAUAUAACAUAAAUAAAUUCAUAAUACAUGUGAUGGAUAAGAAAUUGAAAAGUACCUUCAAUAUUGAGUUAUAAAAAUUCUAGAAUUAAAUAUUAUUGAAAACAUUUAACAAAAAAAAAAAUUCUCAAGAUUGUUUUUGAGGGGAUAGAACGUUUGUAAUUGGGUGUGUAAACUAUGAGAACAAAGUACUCCUAUUUAUAAGCAAUAUACAUUUCUCUCGUUUUCCUCCACUGGUUUUAUAAUAAAUUAUUAAAAGUUGAUUUAUCACUUUGAAAAGUGUGCCUCUUAUCUAUAUGAUAUUGUUCCACUUGCUUUUUAGCGGAUGACUGAUUUAUGCUGGUUUUUGUUUUUUGGAAGAAUUAUUUCUUUUUCACUGUUUUGUUUUUCUUCGUGACUCGUAAAAAGAAAAUAUAUCUAGGAAGAUUUUUUUGUUUAAUGAUUUCUUUACUUCUAAAAAAGUCAUCCAGUCAUACCCUUUCUAUAAGUUGUUUCAUAGUAAACCCUAAGAAAUUGUCUACAAGUCGUCAUAACAAAUUAAGAUGGAGAAUGAGAGCUCGGCCGCCAAAGUAUAUACCACCACCUCAAAGGUCGUUGUCGUUGCCGUAUCAAACAAGAAAAUCAAAGAAGAGCAUAAUAUUCAACAUUAUAUACUUUCUUUUAGAGAUAAGUUAUAAAAUAGUCAGAAAAUCGGUCAUUUAUACCCGACUUAAACUCAAGUGUUCAAUUCAUACUUAACAUUUUUUUAAGUACUAAUAUAUACCUAACUUUUUAACAAAUUCAAAUUUCAUACUCGAAUUUACCAAAUCAUGCAAAAUUAUACAUUAUGCUGAUAUGGAUGCCACGUAUUUGAUGAUGUUGAUGACGUAGUUGCCACGUCCUUGAUGACAUCGUUGCCAUGGCAUCAUUACCUUUGAAAAAAAAUAUCUUCAUCAUCAAUAUUAUUCUACGAAACUGUAAAAGAAUUAUUUGUUUGAUGUAAAGAUUUAUAUACUUCCUUUCGAUACUUAUAACCAUUAUUUAAAUCAAAUCUAAUAUUUAAACUGAAUCUAAUAUAUAAACUGUGUUUUAAGAACAAAAUACAAUUUCUUAUUAAUUGCCAUUGGCAAUUGGGAUUUUUUGGAUACAUAAAUAUAAGCUAAGAUACAAAAACAAUAUUAUCACUAAUGAGAAAUUGUAUUUUGUUCUUAAAAUAAAAUUAUUCUAGUGGAAAUACAUGUAAGUAUUUUUUCUUCUUUUUUUUUCUUCAACUUAAAAAUGUCUUUCGAUGAAUAUACGAUUAUUGUAGGGUUUAUGUUCUUCAUUGAAAGCGAUUUGAAGAUUUUUAGAAGAUGAAUUACGAAUUUUGGGUUUAUAAACUCGGUUUAAAUAAUAGAUUCGUUUGGAAUAUUGGUUAGAAGUCUCAAAAAUAAGAUUUUAAAUGCUUACAUUAAAAAAAAAUUCAUAGUUCCGUCGGAUGAUAGUGAUGGAGAAGAAGAAAGGGAAGAGAAAUUAAAAAUAUUUUUAUUUUGUUUAAAGUGAUGAUGAUGUGGCAACGACAUCAUCAAGGACGUGGCAACGACAUCAUCAUCAUCAGCAAAGAUGUGACAUCCACGUCAGCAUGAUGUAUAAUUUUGCAUGAUUUAAUAAAUUCAGGUAUGAAGUUUGAAUUUUUUUAAAAGUUAUGGCAUAUAAGAAAAUGUUAGCUAUGAAUUAAACACUAGUUUAGGUCGGGUAUGAAAUGGCCGACUUUCCUAAAAUAGUCACUUUUUCAAACUUAAUUAGAUAAGUGAUACGUUCACUAUUUACAAUUGGGAAAAAUCCCACAUUUGCACUGUAGGAACUUUUGCCCUGGCCCAUAUAACAUUCAAAAUAUCAACUAUUUACCAUCUAAUGCCAUUAACGGUCUUUGCGAAGAAAGAUAUUAAAAAUGAAUUGUUCUCUCUUUUUCUCUUCGUAACAACUCUAUUGCCAUGAAUUUUUUCUUUUUUUUUUUCUUUUUUUUUUCUUUUGCCGACGAUAUCUCAUUAAAGGCUAAUCUCUCUCUUCAACCUUGUCACUUCUUUGAGGCGCUUUGAAUUUAUGCCCUAAAACUAUCUUCACUGUGACUCUGCCUAUGCAAAAUCUUCAUCUCCGAUUCCUUUGACGAUUGAACCAGCGCAUAAGAAAGGAGAUGCUAGCAUUAAGAACGGACAUAAUUCUCCUGGUCAAUGACUCGGUGUCAAUAUAUACGGAGACCAAGUCACUAAACCUGGCGCCAUCAUUGUUCGUCAACAUGGCCCUAAGGUAACACUUAAGGUAACACUUAAGAUUACCAAUCUUAAGAUUACAUUUAAGAUUCUUCCAAUUGAAAUUUAUUGUUCAAGUAGGAAUGCAAGCUAAAGAGGGUCUGAUUUAGAUGUGGCUAUUCGCUGGAAUUCAACAUAUCACAUGCUCUCUAGAGCUAUAAAGUUUAAAGAUGUUCUAAGGAAUCUUGCAGAUGUAGAAACAAGUUACAAAAGCUUUCCUUCUGAUUUAGAGUGUAGUAGAGGAGAGUUGAUAUGUAAAUUUUUUAGGCCAUUUUCUAAAAUGACAAAUCUGAUUUCAGGUUCUUCUUAUCCUACAGCCAAUUUAUAUUUUAUGCAAGUUUGGAAGAUAGAGUAUUGGUUGAGAGUUCAUGAGUAUUCAGCGGAUGAGACUAUUUGUUAAAUGGUGGAAAUUAUGAAGCUUAAGUUUGAAAAAUACUGGGAACAGUAUAGUGAUAUUUUCACAAUUGAUCCAAGAUUGAAAUUUACAUGUUUAGAAUACUGUUUCACUACUCUAGAUUCAUCAACGAGUAAGUUCAGAUUGGCUCAUGUGCGUUUGAAGAUGUAUAAGCUUUUUAAAGCUUACAAGAAACGUCAAAGUAGCACCAGUAGCUCCUCUUCACAAGUAGACACUUUGAAAGAAGACAUUCCGGCAGGUUAUAGUGUUUAGCUAUUUAGCCACUGUUUGAAUUCUAAAUUCUUAUUUUAGCCACUGUUUUUGUAGUUUUAAUCUGAUUUUGCACUACUUAUUGAUAGCAUGUUAAACUUAUCAGAUUAAAUGCUCAAAGUGUCUGUUUGUAAACUUAUUUAGCCACUGUUUUUUAUUAGAUGCUCAAAGUCACUGUUUUUGCUUGUUAGAGUUUAUUGUUCAACGUGUAUUAGCCACUGUUUUGUAAAUUGAAGUUAUCUGCUAGUUAAAGUUUAUUGCUCAACGUGUAUUUAGCCCCUGUUUGUAAAUUGAAGUUAUUUGUUAGUUAGAGUUUAUUGCUCAACUCGUAUGUUCUGCAAUAACUUGUUGACCGUUAAGCUUGUAAUGUUUGUUUAAAAUUUUACAGUAGCUUUUGUAUCUCAUAUGUUCCAUUUGUUUGUAUAUUUUCUCAGGGAUUUUAUGCAUUUUUCUCUCAAAAAGCUGGUAGUAGUGGAAAAUCAUAAUUAGACUUAUAUUUAGGUGAACCAACACUAGAUAUGAUUGCUUUUUGACAUUUGAAUGUCAUAGCAUAUUGGAAAGAGAACUCUAGUCGGUUUAAGGAGUUGUCAAGCAUGGCUUGUGAUGUUCUCUGCAUUUCGAUAAAAACUGUUGCCUCUGAGUCAUCAUUUAGCAUAGGCAGCCGACCGAGUCCUUAGUAAAUACAGGAGUAGUCUUAUUCCUCAAAAUUUCCAAGCCUUAAUCUGCAUAAAGAACUAGCUGCGAGGCUUUCCAGAAGAGGGAGAGGAAGAGGAAGAAGAAGAAGAGAAAGAAGAGGAGAAGGAAGAAGCUUAAGAUUGUUGCAAUUGGUCAUGUUAAACUUUUUGGAUUAUUGUUGUGUUAAAUUGUUUUUAUGAUGUCUCUCUUUACAAUAUUGGUCUUAGUUUUCGAAUGGCGCAAGCGGAUCAAGCGGUACGGAUCAGGCAGAUCAAACGGUACGGAUCAAGCAGAUCAAGCGGUUCAUGUAGAUCAACUGUGGAUCAAGCAUAUUAGGCGGAUCAAGUAGAAAAAGUGCGGAUCAAGUAGUUCAAAAGCGGUUUCAGUAGUAAAAAUAAUUAAAAAACAAUGAAAGUUAAUAUUUUAAAUAAAAUAAAAAUAGAUUAAAGAAUAUUAAUAAAAAAUAAUUAUCUUUUUAAAAUUGAAAAUUAUUUUAAUAUAUAUAUCAAAUAUACAAUUUUGUACUAAAAAUUAAAAAUGAUUGCUUCAUUAAUUAUAAGAAUAUUAUGUAUAUAUUUUCAGGACAGAUGUAAUUAUAUCGAACUUUAAUUUAAUAUAAGAUAAAUAUAAUUAUGUUUUGUACAUGUUAUACAUGAAAUAUUAUACAUGAAAUAAAUACAAAAUAACACAUAAAAAUGACUGAAACUUCUACUAUCCAGUAUUUUUAUCUUGCCAUAGUUUAUUUGCAAUAUAUUCUUUGAUGUUUGCCAUUACAUCUCCAUCUUCUACCUCUGCUGCUUCCAUAUCAUCUUGAUCAGUUGCACCGUCUGUGUUGCUAUUCUCAGUGUGUCCCAUUCUUUCAGAGAAAUCUUCAUCUGGAAAAUUUGAAAUUCUAAUAAAAUUAUGUAGUCCCAUUGUAGCAAUUACCACUCUUUUUUGCACUUCAAUAUUAUAUCUAGAGAACUCACAAAGAAUCCUCCACUUUUUCUUCUAAACACCAAAUGUCCUCUUAAUAACUGACUGCAAAGAAGCAUGCCAUCUAUUAAACAAUUCAUGUUUAUUCCUCGAAGGACGAUUAGUGUUAAAUUGUGACAUAUGAUACCUUACUAUCUUGUUUCGUGAAGAUCUGUACAGAGCCAAAAAUCCUUUUUUAUUUGGAUAGCCAGAAUCCACAACAUAGUACUUGUCUGCCGGAGGCAUUGGAAAUUCAGGAUCAUUUUCUUGUGCCAUCGCAAGAAAUGCUGUAUCACGACAUGAUCCAGGUGCUCCAUUCUAAACAUAUGUGAAUAACAUAUUUAGAUCACAUAUUGCCAUGAUGUUAAAAGAUGUUCUAUCAUGUCGAUUCCUAUACAUUCUUUGCAAUGCAGGUUUCACUUUAACGCAUACAUGAACCCCAUCCAUAGCUCCAACAAAUCCAGUAAAAUAUUGCCCAUAUCUGUCAUCCAACUGCAGCCGUUCAUGAAUCAUAUGUAGUUCUUGUGUUGUUGAAGUUUUGAUAUAAUCACAAGCAAGUAAUUUAGUAGCUGUCAGAACUUCAAAAAACUUUCUCUUCACUGUUUCUUGAUUCCGUCCAAACCGUAAUCCAACAUCUCGUUGAACUUCACUGUGCCCACAUAUCCGGAGAAAUAUAGCCACACUCUCUUCGAUGCUUACAUUCAGUGUUGGUUGUAAUCCAUAAUUGGUUUGUAGAAUACGACACAAUGUUGUGAAUGCAUCAAGUGACAUCCGUAGCAACUAUAGACAAGCAGCAUUAUCUUCUUGUAGUCGAGACCAAAUGUUUCUCUAUCCUAGACCGCAAUCUGUUUGAACAGGUACUCUUUGAAAAUAUCGUUCAUAGUAAUUCAAUGAUGGUUGAAUUAUCAACUCCUCAAAUUGCUCAUUUUCCAAACUCCACAACUCGAUUCUCUCUUCAUAACUUAGAGUGUGUGGACUUUGUGAUCUUAAUUGACAGAUACGAAAAGCCUAUAAUUCAAUAAACAAGAAAUAAAAGAAAUAUUAGAUCAAUAAUAAACACAAUUCAUUAAAAAUUCAUUAAAAAUUCAUUAAACAUAUAAAAUUAUAUAAAACAUAUAGUGAUUUGUUAAUUAAACAAAAACAUAAGCUCUCACACUAAUCUUUAUCUCCUAAACCACUUUGUUGACUUUCAUUUAAAUCUAGUCUUUCUUUGGUUCCCCAAAUAUUGAAUAAUCCUCCGGGUCUAUGUGAUCGUGGUAUCCGUCGAGCAUUUGCAUCAUGUAAAUCUUCUAUCCGACCUUCCACUGAAAAUCCAUGUUGCACAGUUUUAGUAGGUCCUAGUUGAGAGCAUUUGGUGAUGAAUCCCAUUGUGAAGCAUUUGAUUGAGAAUCCCAUGGUGAAGCAUUUGAUGAAGAACCCUACGGUGGAGCAUUUGAUGAAGAACCCCAUUGUGGUGCAUUUGUUGAAGAACCCCAUUGUUGAGUAUUUGGUGAUGAACUCCAUUGUGGAUCAUUUGACGAAGAACCCCAUUGCGGUGGAUUUGAUUGAGUAUCCCAUUGUGAAACAUUAGGAGAUGUGUCCCACUGCGAAGCAUUUGACGAAGAACCCCAUUGCGGAGGAUUUCGAGGUGUACCCCAAUGUGGAGGAUUUGGAGGUGUCCCCCAAUUUGGAAGAUUUGGAGGUGUCCCCCAAUUCGGAGGUUUGGAGGUGUUCCCCAAUUCGGAGGAUUUGGAGGUGUACCCCACUGCGGAGAAUUUGGAAGUGUACCCCAUUGCGGAGCGUUUGGAGGUAUAUCCCACUGCGGGGCAUUUGGAGGUGUACCCCAUUGUUGAGAACCGUGACCCCACUGUCCAUGUGAAGUUUUCCCCCAUGAAUUGUUACCACCAGAGGAUGGACUACCCGAAGGAAAAUAACCCGAACUUGGACUUCCAGAGUGUGGAGUUGUGCCUACCCGCUUCUCAAUAAAAUACUUACGCCAAAAUCUGUCUUUUUGAAGUUAACGCAUGCUAUCACACCAAAAUUCAUUGAAUUUUGGAACUCCCAUGGCUUCACAUAUUUUUUUUGCCUUACUGAAUUCAGCAAAAUCUUCUGGGUCAAAAGCACGUGGACGUAGUUGUGCAAAAGUUUGGCGUUGGAAUUCUCAAAUCCAGUCAUUGUAUCUGUCAAGGUUGUCUCAAAGGCUUGUUUUCUACGGGUACCUCGGGAACCACUUGCGAUAGCAACUCUUGAGCUUCCUGCACCUCUUUGUGUAUUACUUGCACGGCUUACAUUCCCCGUUGUUGAGUUCUGGAAGAAGGAAUUCAGGUCGCAUCCCGGGUGAAUUCGGUUGAAGGACGUGAUUCAUCGUCAAUGUUAACACGAUACACCUCUUCAUUUUCUUGUGUUUUGGGAACUUGAGUUUGUUCCCUAUCACUUCCAUCUGUGUCUGAAUUCACAUGCUCUUCUUCAUUAUCUACACCCUCGUACAUCAUCUCUACUCUUCUUUGGUUUACAGAAUAUUGAGGUUGUGAAUGAACAUCAUAUAAUGAGAAACAACGUUCCAUCACUUCCCAAAAUUCUGGUGGUUUUCGAUGAAGUGAUUUUAUUAUUCUACAUAGGCCUGGGCAUGUGGGUAUUCGGGUCGGGUUCGGGUCGGGUCUUUCGGGUUCGGGUUUUUCUGGUUUAGAAAUUUUGGACCCGUUGGGUUAUAUGUAUAAUUUCGGGUCGGGUUCGGUUCGGGUUCACUUCGAGUCCAGGUAAUUCGGGUAUUGGUUAAAGAACCCAUAAAUAACCAAAACUAUUUCGGGUUUGAGUACUACUUACCCAAACUUUGUCCAAAUAUACCCAAACAUACAUAAAAGUACCCAUAAAACCCGAAAGAUCUGAAAUUAUAACAAGUUGUUCCUUAAGACAAUAAUAUAAAACAAGAAGUAAACCUUGUUUUGAGUUUGUUCCAUAAUUUAAAUCAUUAAACAAGUCAUAAAUUCAAGUUAUUAGUGCAUAUAUGUCCUCAUAUGUGUAUAUAUGUUCGGGUAAUAAAAAAUACUCACGGGUAUUGGGUUCGGUUCGGGUAAUACCCGAUACCCACAGUUAUUUGAAAACAGAACCCGAUCGGGUAAUCAGCCAGAACCGAAAUAGAACGGGUUUGGGUAUUUCGGAUCGGGUUCGGUUUGGUUCUUCGGGUUCGGGUAUUAUGCCCAGGCCUAAUUCUACACCCCUGUUAAAAAAAUUAUAAAUUUUUUAUACAUCUAUAUUAGUUAAACAAAUAUUUUUGGUAAUGAGAUAAAUAAUAAUUAAUUACCGCUUCAUGGUCUUUCCACCAUUGUUGAAAUGCAGAUAUCAUGGAUAUUGUCGGAUCAACUGAAAUGCCGGUGGACGUUUUCAUAAGAGCUUUCCACUUCUUAUAUUGAAUUCUUCAUUGAACUUUCGAGUGAUAAACUCUCUACCAUAAGGCGUCGGAUCUUUAAGAGAGUAAUUAUUCAUGGCUAGUGUUUCGGCAUACAAUUCAAUGAGUCUUCUUUUUCGUUGAUAAGUCCAUUUAAAAUUAGCUUCACUCUACGAUUUUAAGAACAUAUAUUUAUAAUUUAAAUAAAAAAAAAUAUGAAUACAUUAUAAAUUCUAAACUAAUUACAAUAAUAAAAAAAUUACCCGUGCUGUUAUUUGAUUAUGAGCACUUGUGUUGCCUUCCUCGAAAGAAUUUGUGUUUCCUCGACGAUUUGAUGCCAUUUCUACAAUCGACUGGUUAAAAAUAAGAAAAAUUUACUCAGAUGUUAUAGAAAAAUAUGUUUAUUAUUAGAAUAUCAUAUAUCUUUUAAAAAUUACUCAUAUGUUUUGAGCAUUUGUGUAAUUACAAUUAACACCCUUAUUAGUUUUUUUUAAUUAAUAAUUCUUAAUUCGUUUUUAAUUAAAAAUAAUAAAUAAAAAUUUGAUUAUCCAUGUCAUUAAUCCACAUCACCAAUCCCAUACUCCUCAAACUCACGUUAUUUCUCCUCUUCUCUUUUUUUUUGUCUCCAAAUCCAAGAAAAGCUUUUAGAUCUAAUAUUUUGCAACUAACUUGGGUACAACAUUGACAGAGAUCUUCAAAUUGCAGGAUUGGGCUGGAUCUUCUUAUACCUCACAGCCGCAACGCUUGCCAUAGGGUCCCAAAUCAAAAGCUUCGUCAGAUCUACUCGCAACCUCGCUAACGAAAAAAGUCAUCAAAAAUCAAAACCCAAAUCAAAGAGAUCUAUGGAAUUCUACAUGAUUCGUUACAGGUUUGAGUUGAAAUCAAGAAUAUCUACUCUUUUACUUUGAUUUUACAUGUCUCUCGUUUAAUCUUCCUCUCAAUCGAUCUAUUUGGAGACAUUUCUACUUCUAUCUAUGUUUUGAUUCAUACGGUUUAGUCUUCCUCCUAUGUAUCCCUCAAACAUAUUUUUACGAAUCUUAAUUUGAUUGUCGUUAUUUGACCAAUAAAUUUCAUAUUGUCUUCUCCAAAAAAAAUGUUGCUUUCCGAUCUGUAUUAUAAAUCAGCCGUAAAGUGAUGUAACUCAGCCGUAACAUGUAUUUUACACAACCUUUCGUCUUCCCUGAAUGAUAACUCAGCCGUGACAUGUAAUUUACUGAACCUUUCGUCUUCCCUGAAGCAUAUAAUUCAGCCGUAACAUAUAAUUUACACCCAUCUUUCGUCUUCCCUGAAGAAUAUAACUCAGCCGUGACAUGUAAAUUUACCGAACCUUUCGUCUUCCCUUAAACAUCUAACUCAGCCGUAAUGUAAUUUUACCGAACCUUUUCGUCGUCCCUGGAACAUAUAACUCAGCCGUGACAUGUAAAUUGACCAAACCUUUCGUCUUUCCUUAAGCAUAUAACUCAGCCGUAAUGUAAUUUUACCGAACCUUUCGUCUUCCCUGGAACAUAUAACUCAGCCGUGACAUGUAAAUUGACCAAACUUUUCGUCUUCCCUUAAGCAUAUAACUCAGCCGUGACAUGUAAAUUUGCCGCCAAACAAUAAGAGACGCAACAUUUCGUCUAACUUUAUCAUCGAGCACCAACUUCACAAGUUUUUCGUGCGUUGUUUCCGCAUCUUUCUGCACAACUCUACACCCUCUGUCAUCGGUGUUAAAUAUGUAUUUGUGUUUCUAUACCCAAUUACCGGAACCGGAUCAACCAUAUCGGGAGAAGAAUGAAAGAAAUUGAAGAAGAAUGAGGAAGACGAUGAGGAAUUGCAAGUUCCGGUGAUGUUAAAAACUCAGGUGAAGAAGACGUGUUGAAAAAAUUUGGCCCUAUUUUUUUGUCCUUUGAUGAUGAUGACAUGGAAUGUUGCAUCCACGUCAUUUUUUAAUUGAUGAAGUGGCAAGUAAGCCACCAAACGAAAAUGUAAAUCAGCUUAAUUAAACCAGCCAUCAAACAAAAUUUUAACUUAGCCGCAACAUGAAUACUAUUACAGUACAAUAAGUAAAAAACAAAAAAAUGGCAGCGAAAUUCAGCCGUUUACUGUCGUAACUCAACCAAAAAUAUUUAACUCAGCCGUGUCGUUUAAUAAGUCGGCUAUCAAUGGAUGCUAUUCUAGUAAUUAAUCUUUCGCUACUAAUUCAGCCGUAAUAUGGCCGAGUUUUCCGUUAAUCCAGCUCAUUACGGCUGAUUUAUGACACUCGAACAUAAAUCAGCUGUAACGUCAUCCCAUAACUAAGCCGUCUUUGAUAACUCAGCCAGCCGGAGAAAGUUAAGUCAGCCGUGUCGAAGCAAUAACUCAGCCAAAAAUUUGACAAAUCAACCAUCGGGUGAAAACUCAGCCGUAACUUAUGCUGGGUUAUGCUCGAAAGUCAGCCGUUUUAUCAUAACUCGGGCAGAUUUCAGUAAGUCAGACGUAACUCCAGGCUGGAUUAUACUCGUAAGUCAGCCGUUUGCUCAUAACUCAGCCAUUUUUCUUAAAUCAGCCGCAACAUACCGUAACUCAGCCGUCACUGCCGCUAUAUCGUUUGACGGCUGAGUUCAUUAAUACACGUCAGCGAUUUCUGACGUGGCGACGCGGCUUUGCUGAAGUGGCAGUGGCAUUCUUUGUAAUUACGUUUUUUCCUGUAACGUUUAACAGGGGCACGUUGGGUAUAAAAAAUAUACCCAAAAUAUGAUAGUAAUAUAAAAAAGAUCUGUAUGUUUCUAGUAAUUUCAUAUAAAAUGUUAUACAUCUGAGUAAAGUUCCCUAAAAAUAAAGUUAGCAUAUUGUAUUAUUUAAAAUUUUUAUAAUAACUUGUAACAUAAUAAAAUAGCAUAAUCCUUACAAACCAAUAUAUUUAAAUUAAACUAAUUUACUUAUAAAAUUGUGUGGUUUAUAAAAUUUAUCUAAAAUAUUGUAGUUCAUAUAGAAUAAUUUUUUUUUUUUAAUUUAACACAUUAGUAUUACAAAUCAAAAAAGUUUUUACAUUUAAACUGUUUUAUAACUAAAAUAAUAAAAAGGUGUUGUGAAUUUAAUUUAUUUGUUAUUUAAUAUCCCAUUUAAUAUUUUAUACAUUUAUUUAAUAAAUUUAUUAACAAUAUAUUUACUAGCUUAAAAAAUAAUAAUUGCUAAUAUAAGAUUCACUGUAAAAUUUAUAUCCUACUACUAUAUAAUAGUUACUUAAAUUUUAAAAAUAAAUCAAAAUGUAAGUUCAACUUUUUUUUAUAAUUUUAUAACUUAUUUUACAAAAUUAUAAGUAAUACAUUCAUAUUGCAAUUAAUGAGCAUUUCUAAAAUUAAUAAUCAUUUGUACGUAAUUUAAUUUUAAAUUUUCUAUUAUUUUUGAAAAAUUCAUAUUUCAAAAAAUAAGAAAUGUAUUUUGAUUUUAAUAAUCUAAAAUUACUUUAACUUCAAAUGUUCUUUUAAAUUUUUAUAACUCAUUUUAUAAAAAUCACAAGAAAUACAUAUAUUUGUGUUACUCACUUUUAAGCUAUGUUCAAAAGAAUAUAUGUUAUUAGCCAUAACUUUUUAUAAAGUUAUAUCACUUUUAAGCUAUUUUCAAAUCAGUAUUGUAGAUUAGAGGAAAUUUGUAAAAUCUCUCCAAAAUUUUAAAUAUUUUCAAAACUCUACUUUUUAAUAUUUGAAAACUAAUUUUUUGUAAAUAUAUCAUUUAUAAAAUUAAUCAUAACAGGUCUUAAUUUUUAUUUUCUAACUAUGAUAUAUAUCUUAAUCCUUUUGUUUUUAUUGUAUUUAAUUUUUUAUUUUAUAAUAUCUUCUUCAUCUUCAUAAUUUGCAAAAAAAAAAAAGUUAGGGAUGAAAAACAAACCUAAACUCCAAGCUAAUGCAGAGGAGAAAAAAAUCGUGCCCUUUUGUUUUUUUGAUUGUUUGUUCUUCAAGUACAUACCUUAUGAAGAUUUUUAAUAUAUUAGAACCCCUAACACUUAAGUAGGUAAAAAAAGAAGGUUGGUAUAUCACGUUUUUUUUUUGCUGAUUAUCAUUUCAUUUUUUUAUUAAUAAAAAAAAACAUAAAUGCACCGCAAACACGCCACACCACAUGUAGUUUUACUGUUCAAGGCAUUUCAAUCUUCUUUCUUCACAAAAUCUGGCCCGCUUAUACAGUAAGUAUUUUUUUUUUUUUUUUAAUUGGACUGUCUUUUUGUACCACCUUUUAUUAGAUGAAUUGUGACAAAACCAUAGUUCACCCACACUGCGGUUGACCCACCCUUAAUUCCACACACCAUUCGCAACCUUAGUCAUUUUGGAUUGUUGUGAUGUUAAACUUUUUUUCUCUGUCCAUGGACAUAUCCAUUUGGUCAUUGUCAUUUUUGGACUUGGUCAAUUUUGGACUUGGUCACUUUUGUGUUUGGUCAUUUUUGUUAACAAAAAAAAAGUGUCCAACUGGACAAGACCAUAUGGUCAUGGUCAAGACCAAUUGACAGCUCUAGCAGAGGGAGUCAAAACUUGGGAUUAUUAGACGCAAGGGCAUUUUCGUCACUGCACUAAUUCUCUUUUUGCUCUAUUAGAAGGAGAUUCUAUUAGACUCACCCUUUCUUUUUUCCGACCAAGUUCGUCAUCAGAACUUCUGUUUUUGUCAAAACGAUGGACAUAUGUACAGGCUGCUUCUAUAAAAGAAACUAUAACUCACUACACAUUGGUAUAGUUAUAGAGAUAAACUUCAUCAUCUUGAUGACUGUGUUCCUAUUUAGGGUUUUGUUUAUAGAAGCAGCCUUUGCAACAUAAUGAAAUGAGUUCCAAGAGUUCGGAGACGCCGAUAGAGUAGCCCACCUCGACCACAACGGUGAAGAUCCCUAGAACCAUUCGAAGCAGAUUUGGGGCGAGCUGGGGAAAAGCUAUAUUCAAAGUUUUGAGAUAUCGAACCAACACUUCAGGGAGUGGGAAGAACAGCCCGCAUCCUUUGAAAUAAAUUUCGUAAAAACAAAAGUAGUCUGGACGGUGGUUCUCUAGGAAUUCAGUCAGGUAAGGAUAGCCGAUAUCCCGCUGGAUCUCCUCCUGGAAUUCAGCACAAUCUUCCGAAGUUCGCAAGGGACUAGAGAGUACAGCCAGUGCGAAAGUGUGGACCGGUGAUGUCAUUCGGGUGAGUACAUAUUGACUGAGAAGAAGGGUUAGGAGAGGAAUCUCUCUCCAGCGAUUCAGCUCUAGGGGAGUUGGUUCUAGAAGGCAAAGAGCUCAUUCUCGGAUUGAUCGAAGAAAUCGAAGUAAGAAAAUAAAAAGAAGGGAUUCUUUCGCGAAAGAAGAGCCAAGGAGAUUUGUCCAGCGAAAGAUACAGAAGCAGUAAAGUAAAGAACAAUGAAAAAAAAAAGCUACCUUUUUAAGUUAGUGGCUGAGAAUGAAACCGCCUCGGUAAUCGUGGGAAAAGUGGGAGAGUUUUCUCCUCUUAAAUAAUAUUUUAUGGGACUCAAAUUAAUUAAUUUGACAGAUUUCAUCAUGAGUAAUCAUGAAAAUUCUUGAAAUCCGAAGGAUGUGAUCGUGGAGUCAGAGAUCGUCUCAAACAAUCUUUGCUAUUAAGUAAUUAAGUCCUCCGAACUAAAGAAACAGCUCGAAGAACUUAAGGGGCUAAUUGUUGAUGUCGGAUCCCGAACUUAGUGUUCAGAUGCACCCAAAGAAUGUCAUGUAGGACUAGAGUCAACAAAACAAUGGUCAACAGAAUACACCCCCGAACCGGAGUAAGUAUCCGAGGCAAAGAUCUUGAAGAAGUUGGCCGAAGCGGAAAAAAGCUCAAGAAGCAAGUAAUGGGCCGAGAGCUCGAAGGCCUAAGAAGGAUUCAAGAAAAUUCAAAGAGAAACGUUAUGGCAUUCAUUGGAGAAUCAAAAUGGACACAUUUAAGAGUAUUCAUUGCAUUAAUUAGCUAAUUAAUGUAAUUAUUUGUGUAUAAAUACGAGACACCCCCCUCCCCCCAAAUCUCUUCUAUUAGUAUAAAAUUUUUAGCAUAAAAUAUAGUAUUUCGUAAAAUUUAAAAGAUAAAUAUUCGAGCAUAAAUAUAAUAAGCGAUAUACAACAUCUAUAAUGUCGACGAUAAUGUUUCUUUGACAAAUAAAUAGUUUGAUAUAUAUCGUGUUGUAACAAAUAUCACUUAAAAAAUUCGCAAAAGAAUAAAAGAUAUCGACCACCAUCUAAAGAUCCAUUUAUCUUAUCUUUAAAAGAGUUUCUUUCUUAUUCAUAUUCUAUGAGGACAUUUUUAAAGAGUUUUUAAGUUAAUUAUCGAUUGUAGAUCUAAUUGUAGAUAUUAUUUAUGAUUAAAUGUUGAUACGAACAUAACAUCAUUUCCUAUAAAAUGCGAAUAUACCGAGCUUCAUGAACAUUAUUUAGUGUAAAUGUACAUAUAUAGCGAGCUUGUUUUACCCAUCGAAGCAAGUGCAGCGCGCCAUAAGAGAAUUCUCUCCUAAGUCAUCAAUUGUGUCUAUCUUCUCUCACUUUGCAUGAUUACAUGGCUAAACGGUUAAGUCCAAGUUUGAAUCUAUUUUUUUUUUGUCAUCCGUAAUUAAAUAGUGCUCAAAAGAGCCAUUUCUGUGUAAUGUUGUUUACAUAAGUGAUAUGAAGCGGUUCUGUACGAACUUUUCGUGCCAGAUUGUCCGCUUUUACAUUUGCACAACGAGAAAUUAAAGAUAGAGAGAAGUUGGAGAAGUUUGAAUCUAGUAAUCUGUUUAACAAUUUAUGUCAUUUAUUUCUCUAAAAACUCAUUCGUUUCACACAAUGAAUGAGAUCUCAAACAUUUUACCUAGUCACGUGCAUUUAUCUUUCUAAGUCUUAGAAAUUUAUUUUCAAAUACUUUUAAUUACCAAUUCUCUCGUCAUCUUCUAUGAUAAACUCAUUGCCUGUUUACAUCUACUUUCUUUUCACAUUCUAUUGACUCAUAUAUAAUAUAUAUUGGGCAGUGAAUUUGAUUUUUAAGACAUAUCAUAACUAUUUUCUUCUUAAUUCUUAUCUUUCAAUACUGAAUAUUUUGGAUUAAAAACAUUUGAUUUAAUUGAUGAAAUACCAAACUUGUUUUUCUUUUUGAUCAUGUUAUAAUGUUAUAUUUCAACUUGAGAAUAUGCUACACAAAUUACAUAUCACAUUUUUUCUCACAGCUUACAUAUCAUUUUUUAUAUAUUUUGUUGUAGAACUCAUGAAUAAUGUGAUCAUUGAUUAUUUAUUUUUUAAAGAUGGAUGACCAAUUAAAGAGUUUUUUAAUAAUUAAUGUGUGGUUGACAAAUAAAAAAAAAAGAUGGAUGAUAAUGUUUUAAAAUUUUCAAGAUUUGUUUUCAUAAUUUAACAAGAUAAAAUGUGAUUUUUACAAUAUCUUCGGCUUAAAUUAUCAAUUUUACGUUCAAUUUAAUAAUUUUUAUUUUUUUUCUUUAUGUAAAUAAAUAAAAAUAUGUAGUAUAUUGUUCUUAGAAACUAAUGUCUUAGUCAGAUAAAAAUAAUGUCUUAGAAACUAAUGUCUUAGAAAUAAAAAAUAUAUAGUAUAUGAUGCAUCCGGAAAAGUCGCCAGGCCCGAUGUUAUGACAGCCUUAUUUUAUCAAAAGGCUUGGAUUACAAUUAAAUCAGAUCUUCUUGUUUUGGUUAAUUCUUUUUUAGAGGAUGGAAAUUCUGACAAACGGUUAAAUACGACAACCAUUUGUCUGAUUCCAAAAACGGAAAGACCAAUGACGGAAUUACGGCCUAUAAGUCUAUGUAAUGUGGGUUAUAAAAUUAUCUCGAAGAUUCUUUGCCAAAGACUUAAAACGGUUUUACCAAAACUGAUUUCGGAAACAUAAUCGGCUUUUGUCAAAGAUUUCGGAUAAUAUACUUGUUGCACAAGAAAUGAUUUUAGGGGUUGAGAGCUAACCCGUCAUGUAAAGGAAAAUUCAUGGCCAUCAAAACUGAUAUGACUAAAGCUUAUGACAGGGUGGAAUGGAUUUUCGUUGAGAAGGUUCUAAGAAAAUUGGGUUUCUACAAGAAAUGGAUUAAUUGGAUAAUGUGGUGUAUUACAACAGUUCAAUAUAGAGUGUUCCUUAAUGGGCAACUUCGAGGACUAAUUGUACCAGAAAGGGGAUUACAACAAGGAGACCCGCUAUCUCCUUAUUUAUUCAGCCUUUGUACAGAGGUGUUAAUUGCGAAUAUUCGGAAAGCAGAAAAGGAAAAAUAAAUUACGGGUAUUAAGAUAGCGAAUGCAAGCCCUUCGGUUUCACUUUUGUUAUUCGCGGAUGAUAGUUUCUUAUUUUUUAAGGCAAACAAGGACCACUGUGAGGUAAUUUUGGGGAUUUUAAAGAAGUAUGAAGCGGUCUCAGGACAACAGAUUAAUUUUGUAAAGCCAUCGAUUCAGUUUGGACAUAAGGUAGAUGAGGAUAUCAAAGUAGAAAUCAAAUCUUCCUUUGGAAUCGCUAAUAUCGGUGGGAUGGGGUCGUAUCUCGGUUUGCCGGAGAGUUUGGAUGGAUCUAAAAAAAAAAUCUUCUCUUGUGUUAGAGAUAGAUUACAAACAAGAAUUAACGGAUGGUCGGCAAAAUUUUUAUCGAAAGGUGAGAAAGAAGUGAUGACUAAAUCGGUAGCUGCAGCAUUACCAACUUAUGUUAUGUCGUGCUUCAAACUGCCAAAAACAAUCACUUCUAAACUUCCUAGUGCGGUUGCUAAAUUUUGGUGGAGUUCAAAUGGGGAUUCCAAAGGUAUGCACUGGAUGGCUUGGAACAGGUUGUGCAAUAGCAAAUCGGAAGAAGAGUUAGGUUUUCGAAAUGUUGACGAUUUUAAUUCAGCCCUAUUAGCCAAACAAUUAUGGCGGUUAAUUACGGUCUAGAUUCUCUUUUCGCGAAGGUGUUUAGAGGGCGGUAUUUUCAGAAAUCCAAUCCUUUGGAAAAUUUAAAAUCAUACUCCCCAUCAUAUGGAUGGCGCAGUAUCUGUUCAGCUAGAUCUCUGGUUAAUAAAAGACUUGUUAAAAGAGUCGGAUCGGGGACAUCCAUCUCAGUUUUGGAGGAUCCCUGGAUUCCAGCUCAAUUCCCGAGACCAACAAAGAGUAAUGGUUCACUUGUUGAUCCAUUGCUAAAAGUUAACAAUCUUAUAGAUAGGCGGUCAAAUUUCUGGAAUAUUGCUCUCUUAGAAGAGAUCUUUGAUCAAGAAGAUGUCGCCCUAAUAAGUGCCCUACCUGUGGGUGCGCCAGCUAGAGAAGAUACAUUGGGUUGGUAUUUUACAAAAUCCGGAAAAUAUACAGUCAAAUCAGGAUAUAAUACCACAAUGUUAGAAAAGUUGGAGACCAAUUUAUCUUUGAUUGGCCCGGACAUCAAACCGUUAAAAUCACAUUCUUGGCAAGUGCAAUGUCCACCUAAGAUAAGUCAUUUCUUGUGGUAAAUCUUAACGGGUUGUGUACCAGUUACGGAAAAUUUAUGGAGAAGAGGUAUUUAUUGUGACAAAGGAUGUGCCAGAUAUGGCGAACCAGUGAAAAAAAUCAAUCAUACACUCUUUCAGUGCCACCCGGCACGACAGGUUUGGGCACUUUCCCAGAUUCCUACGGCAAUGGAAAUUUUUCCCACAAAGUCUAUUUUGCGAAUUUGGAUCACUUAUUUUGGAGAAUACCUUCAGAAUUUGAUUCUUCAGCUUUUCAAUGGAUUAUCUGAUAUAUUUGGAAAGCAAAAAAUGAAAAAAUCUUUGAAAAUAUUGAUAAAGAUCCGUUAGAGGUAUUACGGUUAGCGGAAAAAUAAGCACAAUUGUGGCAGUCAGCCCAAAUCGAGUUUUAUCAUGAAACUAUUGGUACUGUGGAAUUGGCAACUCGUUAUCGAGUGGGGGAUGCUUCACUUGAUUCGAAUUAUUUUGGAUGUCGUUGCUUUGUUGAUGGGUCAUGGAAAGAAAGUGAUAAAUUCUCUGGUACAGGAUGGUUCUGUACAUCUUCAAACGGAGAGUCGCCAACCAUGGGAGCUGCCAACCUCCGUAAAAGUCUAUCUCCAUUACAUACAGAAUUCGAGGCUCUUCUCUGGGCGAUGAAGUGUAUGAUUGGUGCAGAUAAUCAAGACAUAGCUUUCAUUACAUACUGUUCUGAUCUGGUGAAGAUGGUGUCUUCUCCAACCGAAUCGCCGGCGUUUUUAGUGUAUUUGGAAGAAUUCCAAAGUGAUAAGGAAGAAUUCUCAACCUUCUCUUUAUCUUUAAUUUCUGGUAAUGCUAAUGUAAAAGCGGAUAAUCUGGCAUAAAAAGUUUGUACAGACCAGCUUCAUAUCACAUAUGUAAACAACAUUCCUCAGAAAUAGCUCUUUUGGGCUCUAAUUAAUUUUGGAUGACAAAAAAAAACAAAAAAAAACUAAUGUCUUAGUUUAAAUUUAAUCUUCUUCUUUAUAAUUUUACAUAUGGAAUUGCAUAAAUUUAGUUUUAUACUUCUUUUCACCAUGCAUUUAAAUUACUUUCAUUCUAAAACUCACUAACACAUUUAAAAAUUUGAAGUAUGGUCAUUUUUAAGUUUUAUCUAAUAAAAGUUUAAUUAUAUUAUUACUACUAAUAAAAUUUUAAUAAUAUUAUAUUUAUUAUAUUAACAUCUCAUUUAUUUUACAUAAUUCGGUUUUUAUUUAUUUUAAUUUUUUAUUAAUUAUAAGUCACACAAAUAUGCAAUAAAUGAAUGUUUUAAUUUUUUUAAUCUUAUAAUAAAUUGUGUUGCUUAGGUAGAUCCUUAGGUGGAUUGGCUAGAUGGAGAGAAGACUCUGCUAUUAUAUAUAUAUAUAUAUAUAUAUAUAUAGAUUUUCUCUCUACAUUUUUGUCGACAUUUAAGUCUAUCUCCAUUAUAUACAGAAAUUCGAGGCUCUUCUCUGGACGAUGAAGUGUAUGAUUGGUGCAGAUAAUCAGUUUGUGAAUCCGACAUCAACAGAGUUCAUCAAAUGAUGGUUAAACGAUUCCCAUUUGAUGCAGGACGGUUUUUAGUGAGAUACUUGGGGUCCCUCUUGUAACUAAGAGCUUAACAGCAACUGAUUAUGCUCCCCUACUUGAGCAUAUUAAAAAACGGAUCAAGUCAUGGACGACUAGAUUUCUAUCAUAUGCGGGAAGGUUGAAUUUGAUAAAUUUUGUUCUAUGGAGUAUUUCAAACUUUUGGCUAGCUGCUUUCAAAGUUCCACGGGAAUGUAUUCAAGAAAUAGAAAAAAGGUGUUCCACUUUCUUUUGGUUGGGGCAAGUUUUAAAUCCGCGAAAAGCUAAAGUUUCAUGGCAUAAGUGUGUAAGCCAAAACAAGAGGGAGGCCUAGGAUUGAGAUCUCUUAAAGAAGCUAAUGAUGUUUGUUGUCUAAAACUGAUAUGGAGACUAGUCUCACAUGAUUCAUCGCUUUGGGUAAAAUGGAUCACCACAUAUCUACUUUAACAGGAAUCAUUAUGGAGUGUCCGAGAAAACAAAAGUUUAGGGUCGUGAAUAUGGAGAAAUUUUUUGAAACAAAGGGUAAUAUAAUGGCUAAAAAUUUCUAUAAUAAAGAUGUCUGAAAUGGCUCAUCGACAACAUUCUAGUUUGACAACUGGUCACAUCUAGGUUGUCUCAUGGAUAUAACAGGAUGUAGGGGUUAUAGACUCGGGAAUUGGAAAGAAUGGUUUAGUGGUUAAAGCUUGGAGCUCUCAGCGAAGACGGAUACACCGUGUUCAAAGUCUGAACUUGGUAGAAAAUGAGUUAGAACUUAGUGACAAUGAAGAAAUGUGAAUGAGAGAGACAUCGUCUUAUGGAGAGGAGAAGGGGACUUGUACACAGCAUCUUUCUCGAGUAAAGAUACUUGGAAUCAUACUCGAACAACAUCAAAUCAAGUAGCUAGGCAUAAGGGAGUAUGGUUUAUACACACAACGCCAAAAUACUCCUUUUAUACUUGGUUAGCGAUGUGAAAUCGUUUAUCAAUAUGUGAUCGUACGCUCAGUUGAAAUGCAGGAACAAUGUCUACAUAUGUCUUGUUAAAAGACUAUUUGUUUUUUAUGUGCAGCUAGUCCUCGGACAUAUGAGUUGCACUCACGCAACGCCUACUCCAAAGCCAAUUCUCAAAGGACUAGCAAGAAGUGAUCGAUUGCAUCUUGACCACUCAGCUAAUUAAUCUGAUCCAAACGCUCCAAACUCGCUAUGCUUUCCAAAUAUUGGUACACGCGAACUAGAGAGAACGCAACACGAGAAGACACGGGGAGAAACUCACUCAAGUGACUAGAAUCAUCAACUUGAUCGAUGAACAAAUUUGAAAUCAAUUUUCAGCAAUUCAAAGAUUAGGAGACAGGAAAUAGGAACCCUGCUUACAAGCUUGGUUAUACGAGUGUUAGGUGUAAAUUUUUAUCUAGAUAAUAAUUCAAAAUCAAAAACUGAAUCAUUUGAUGGACAAAAUGUUAUUUUUUCUUAAAUUAAUUUAACAUUAAAUUCCAAGAAAAAUGAUUGAACGUGAUGGAUUUAUAUUAUUUAUCGUAGUUGGGCUUUUUGGACCUUUUAUUAUUGUUAUAGUUGGGCAUAAUUGGACAUUUUAAUACUAGACCUUGUUGAGCUUAUUCUUGUUGGGUUUAAAUCAUUAGCCCCAAGUAAGUUGAGUUUAAAUCUACUAGUAAACAUUCUGAACCUUUUUUUAAUUGGUAAAAAGGUUCUAAAAGAUGAAAAUAUUAGGCUGGGCAUAAUACCCGAACCCGAAGAACCGAACCAAACCCGACCCAAAAUACUCGAACCCAUUCUACUUCGGUUCCGGCUAAUUACCCGAUCGGGUUCUGUUUUCAAAUAACUGUGGGUAUCGGGUAUUACCCGAACCGAACCCGAUACCCGUGAGUACUUUUUAUUACCCGAACAUAUAUACACAUAUGAGGACAUAUAUGCACUAAUAACUUGAAUUUGUGACUUGUUUAAUGAUUUAAGUUAUGAAAAAAACUCAAAACAAGGUUUACUUCUUGUUUUAUAUUAUUGUCUUAAGGAACAACUUGUUAUAAUUUCAGAUCUUUCGGGUUUUAUGGGUACUUUUAUGUAUGUUUGGGUAUAUUUGGACAAAGUUUGGGUAAGUAGUACUCAAACCCGAAAUAGUUUUGGUUAUUUAUGGGUUCUUUAACCAAUACCCGAAUUACUCGGACCCGAAGUGAACUCGAACCGAACCCGACCCGAAAUUGUACAUAUAACCCAACGGAUCCAAAAUUUCUAAAUCCGAAAAACCCGAACCCGAAAGACCCGACCCGAACCCGACCCGAAUACCCACAUGCCCAGGCCUAGAAAAUAUGAAGCAAUUUGCAAUGUUUCAUUAUUCCUCAAAAGCCUGGACAUUUAACUAACUAGAAAUGGACCCACGCGUUGCGUGGGUUUAUUGCGUGAGUUUAGCAAUAUAUAUUUAAUUUUUUUAUAGUUUUGUAAAUUAUAUUAUUUAAAUAUUUUUAAUUACAAUACUAUUUGAAAACUAUAUGUAAUUCUAUUGAUAAAAAGGCGGUUAUAUAAAUAUAAUAGAAAUAUUAUAAAUGAUAAUUGUAUAGAUUUAUACGUUUAUUUAUAAUAUACUACAUAUAUUAAACAUUUUUUUUUCUUUUGCAUUUGACUUAGUAUCCUAUGACCGUUCAUUAUAUAUAUAUAUAUAUAUAUAUAUUUUAGUACAUGAAUUCUUAUGCAUAACAUUUUCUUCUAUAAUUCUAGAAACUCAAGUGUGCUAUUUUAAAUGUGGUUUAUCUUUUCCAAAUUUAUAUCUAUUGUAUUUAGAAGCAAAAAUAAAAGAUAUAUAUAUGGUCCGCUCCGGAACAUCCCUUUGUGAAGUGUAAUUUUGAUUAGGGCUGGGCCGGGUCCGGAUUUUCGGCUUUUUUAGGGAAUCUGGAUCCGCCUUUUCCAUUAUCCAUUAUCCAUUAUCAUUUGAAUUCUAGAUGGCAUCAAUUUUUUAAGAGUGAUAUAGAUCGUCGUGAUCUUGUAAGUUCCUAGAUGCUUCUUGUGAAAAAUGCUAUCUGAUUUGUUUUCAUUUUAGAUUAGGUUCAAAUUUCUUGAUAGAUCUUUUCUUUAAUUUUUUCAAUGGCUUGAAAGGUCACUUGUGGAUGUGCAGCUGGAGUUGCUGCCGCUUUUAGAGGAGGUCAAAUCAUGGUGGGUUCCUUCUCUCACAUCCUAUGUCCAAAGUGGCUGAAUUUACUAUGUUCUUAGAAACAACAAUGGAGGAACAUUUGUUGUCUAUGCUGUAACAUCCUUAGCAACUAGUGUCACUUGACAGCUUUGCACUGGUUUUUUACACUGUUCUGGAUUUUAACAGUGUUUAAAAGAUGGGUGUCUGGUUCUGUCCUAUUUUUCAGCACGAAACAAGUUUUGAGAUUUGAGUUGUCAAAAUUAUCUUUGUUUUUCAGGUUUUUUUGGAGGCAGAGAAAGGGUACAGAUCGUUGAUAAAGAUUGUCAUUGCGUUGGGUGAAGACCCUCCACGUGUUGGUGUUCAUUGCGUUGGGUAAAGACCAGGUUUAGUCAUUGCGUUACCGUAGUUGAAUUUUUUUUUUAUUCCUAGUCUAAAAAUCAUUCAUCCAGUUUCCCUUCUGUCAGAUUUUUCUGUUAGGCUAACAUAUGGAGAGAGUUCACCUUCUUUCAUAUAUAUGGGCUAUAUGUCUAUAAAAUACAUAUGAUCGCCACGUCAGCAUUUUAUGCUCUUCUGGAGAUGCCACAUCAGCUUUCUUUCCAUCCAAUCAAAACAUUUCAUUAAUAUGAGUCAGCUUUUAUUUUUUACACAUCAGCUUCUAAUUAUUAAUGUCAAAUGGGGAAAACACAAUAGCCCAUGAGGGAUGGCCCAUAUGAAUUUGAAAAUCUAUUUCACAAGUUAAUAAUAUAUUUAUUAUUUAAUUAUAUAUAUUAUUUAAUUUUACAUAUUGAUUUUUACUAAUACUAACUUAUUUUGUUAUUUUAUGUUUUUUUCCAUGAAAUUAUUUAUUGGUUUUAUAUACUACAAAGUUUUUUCGCUAAUUUUUGUAAUCUUAACUCAAAAUAUGAGUGGAUAAUAGUAUAGUGGAUUAGCUAAUGGUUUAAGUAAGUUUUUCUCUUAAUUUUUUAAUCUAUAUAUGACACUGAGGGUGAAGAGUACGUAAGAUCAUCAAAUUUUGGAUGUUCUAUAAUCCUAACAUUACCAUCUAUAAAAUUGGUUUAGGAAAGAUUGUUUACGGAUUGUGUGAGUGAUGCAAUGAUGAGUAUGUUGGUUGAAAAUGUAUUUUAAUACUAAGAUUGUUUACGGCUUUAAAUUUUCCAUUAUCCGGAUCCGGAUCCGGAUCCGCUUUUUCAUUAUCCGGAUCCAGAUCUGCCCCACCCGGAUAUCCGGUUUUUCGGAGCGGAUCCCGGAUCGGAUCCCGGAUAAUUGGUCUCAGGGCUAAUUUUGAUGCCAGUUUCAGCCAAAUCACUAUGCAAGCUCGUGGAGGAUGGAUUAUACGGGAUCAUCACGGUACUGCAAAAGCAUGGGGAUCUUUGGAUUUGAAUGGUGCAGCUUCUCCGUUGAUGGCCGAAGCAAAAGCACUUCUGACAGCGAUGCAUCAAGCAUGGUUAAGAGGAUUCACUCAAGUAAUCUUGGAGGGAAACUGUGAAGUAUUGAUCAACUUAAUCAAUGGAAAUUCCAGUCAUAGUGAAGUAGAGAAUCUGCUGCAAGACAUUGGUUUUUGGAGAGGAAAGUUUAGUGAUAUAAGUUUCAAUUUUGUAAAACGAUCUUGUAAUUGUGUAGCUGAUAGUUUAGCCAAAUUUGUUUGUCCAAUGUCGUUUUUCCUUCCGGAUUCAUUGAUUCCGCCAAUAUGGCUUAAGGAACUGCUGUGUAACGAUUUGUUAACUUAAUAAAAUAAGUUCUUGACGAAAAUAUAUAUUUUUUAUUUUAUAUAUUGGCUUUCUCUUUAGGAAUUUAUCUUUCUGAGACUAAUUUUGUCACUCAGUUCCGAUAUUUUCAUAUUCUAUUAUUUUAAUUUUAAUUUUUUGUUUGUAUCUUAUUAAAUCCAAUGUUGCAAUUGUGUUAUUUCUACUUAUUUUCGAUAUUUUAAAAAUAAUCUUUUUAUAUUUUUAAUAAGUGCAUAAUGUUUGUACUACAAUCAAAUGCAUUUAUACAUUUACUUAUAUAAAAUUUUAUAUUAUAUUUAUGAUAAGCUAAAAAUUAAUAGUAUAUAUAAUUAUAUUUUAGUUUUGUUUUCAAUUAUUAUACACGAUACUAUUUAGCUAUAUUUUAACAUUUUGUUUACUGUCAUUUAUAAACUAAUCAACUAUUAUUUUAAUUAGUAAAUUGUCAUAAGAUUCAUCACUAAUUCACUAUAUAUUUUUUGAAAGCUAAAAACUGUAUGUCUUUCCAACUUUUAUACAAUUUUUAGAAAUACCCAACAUAUUGAUUUUUAAAUAUGUCAUGAUUCAUUACUAUAUUUUUUUUUGAAAGCUAAUAAAUGUAUGAUCUUUCAACUUUCAUACAAUUUCAAAAAUAUCCAUCAUAUUAAUUUUUAAUAUAUCAAUUAUAAAACUGAAAUGUUUAUAAAAUUUUUAAUAUGAUUAAUCUUAAACAUUUUCUCGCUAAAAUUCAAAUUAUAUUUUUAGGUAUAAAUUUAUAUUUCUUUGCUUUUUACAUAUAAUAUUAAUUCAUUUGUAUUUAACUUAAAUAUUUUAUAAUUAUAAGUAACAAUAAAUAAAAAUAAGUAUGUAUUGAAUGAACAUUUUAAAUAAAUUAUAUUUUUUAAUUUUUAAUUAGAUGCAUGCUUAGGUGGAUGAUGAUGUGGAUAGCCUAGAUGGAGAGAGGACUCUCCCAUUAUAUAUAUAGAUUUAAGUACUCGGACCGGGUUCAAAGUCAGGCCCAUCGGAUUUAGGUGUUAUGAUUCUAAACAUUUAAAUCUCAUUCGGAUAUUUUAAAUUUUUGUUUUAAAAGAUGAAAAUAUGAAGCAUUUUGCAACGUUUCAUUAUUCCUCAUAGACCUGGACAUUUGACUAUUUGAGUACUCGGGUCGGAUUCAGGUUGGGCCAAUCCGGAUUCAGAUUUUUAUUUUGAGUCUUGACAUUUAAGCCCCAUUUUAGUAAUUAAAUUUUUGGUUCGAUUAUGAUUUGGAUUCGGGUAUAUUCUCGUCUUUAUAUUGAGCAGUGUUCUAAAAAGCGGUCUAGGCAGUCGCCUAGACCCCGACUAGGCGCUAGGCUCUCAUGGGACGCCUAGAUAACUGCUUUGACCGCCUAAAAUAUCAUAGAUCUUGUUUAAUGUUUUUUUUUAAUCUCAAUUAGAGUUUUAUUUAUAUAUAUAUAUAUAUAUAUAUAUAUAUAUAUAUAUAGUUAUAAAUAUUUAUAUAUUGUUAAUAUAAAUAUAAAUAAAUGUUUUAUCUAGUUUUUGUUUAUAAUUUCAUAAUUUUUAGUUUUAUAUAGAUAUUUUAUAUAACUUUUAUAUAUAAUAUCAUAUUUAUAAUAUUUUAUGUUAUAAACGUCUAAACCGCCUAAAAAAUCGCCUAGACCCCGAUUAGACGUUCUAGGAGCUAGACACUGGAUCACCGCCCGCUUAGCGCCUAGCGCUUUCUUGAACACUGAUAUUGAGAAGCGGUGGGAAUCAGAAAUAUUUACGAGUGUGGUUUGGAUGGAUACUUUGUAUCCUGAUCUAUCCAAAAAGUAUUUGAAUAGACCGAAAGUAUCCAAAAUACCCAAAAAAAUGGUAGUUUAUAUCACCGAAAUAUAUCCACAUCUAUCCAAACUACCUGAAGAUAUCCAAAAUACCUAAAAAAAUAGUAUUUGUAUCACUCAAAUUCUCCGAGAGUAUUUGCAAUAUCCGAAAGUUGUAGUAAUUUUGGGUAUUUGGGUUAAUUAUUAUAAGUAUAAAUAUGACUGAUAUAUUCUUAUAUUUUAUGGCAUGUUCAGAUAUCCAUUCGGUUAUCGAUUUGGUUUGGAUCCAGUACUAGUUCGUCGAGUCUAGAGGUUUAGGUCAUAUUCUGGUAUUUUGUCUCUUCCGGUUCCGGUUCCGGUUUUCUUUUUUGGAUCAUCAGUUCCAGUUACUUUUCUACAAGUGAAGAUUAAUAUAAUUUUACCCAUAUGUGAGGCUUUUUCAGAAGCUAAUAGAAUGGCCAAUGUGAGGCUGAGAGUUAGCCUUCAAUUUUAACAUUGGACGUCAUACAUGAGACUUGAGAGUUAGCCAUCAACUUUAAUUUUGGAAAUCAUACAUAAAAGUGCGAUAGGUGAUUUCACUCUUAGGUAUUUCGAUACAUAUGUUUUGAAAGUUUGAGAACCUUGAUAAAGUGGAAAAAAACUGAAAUAAGCUUAGUGUACAUAAGGGUGAAAGGGUGAAACUCCCAACCCUGAGUUCGAUCCUUUCUGGAAACAAAAACACAUUUGUUUGGGAAGUCUGUCAGUUGGGCCUUGGCCCAAUUGGUUUACCUAGUAGUCAGAAAUGCAGGCAGCCUGACUACCUCCUGUCAUUAGUCGGAAGGCACUCUAAACUCGGAUCAGGCAGUGUCGUAGCCCAAUUCUGGAUCUCAUGGAUCUCAUAAAUCUCAUGGCCCGUUCGACCCGAGUCCGCUCGAAGAUCAUGGUGUCCGUUGAAUCGUUGAACCGUUGAACCGUUGAACCGCGGGAAUAGUCCACUCUGUAGCACUUCGAUACGUUCCUACCGGAUCUGCCGAUAGGGUUUAUAAAAAAAAAAAAAAAGGGACAAUUCAUAAAGAAAUAAGCUUAAAAGCAAUACAAUAUCAGUGGAGCGCAUGCAUAAAAAUCACAAUUUUUCUUCACCUACUAAUUUGUCUUAAGUUGACAAAAGUUGCUUUUGUCAAAAUAAAAUAAAAAGCUUAGCGAAAGUUAAUUGCCAAAACAACCAUGUCCGUUACUUCGUGUGUAAAGAUUUGAUUCAAUCAAUAAAAGGUUAAUGGACUUUUUAAACCUAACUUCAUCGACGUCAUAAUUGUAAAAAUUUACAAACGUUGUUAUAUCCUAUAUAGUUCUUCAAAGACGAAUCAAACCACAUUAGUUUAAAUUGUGUGAAACCUUUUGAAAUCUUAAAUAUAUUAUUUAUAUGUAAAAGGUUUGAACAAUAGUUAAACUAUAUAAAGACUCAUAUAUAAUUCCAGACAUCAAUAAUUAAUCAAUGGUUAAAAUAUUUUCAAGAUUUUGUACUAGUUGAAGACUAAUUAGUUUUCAAAAUUCUAAUUUAGAAUUGUGUAAUUAUUCUAAAUUUUAGUGAUAUGUUUUUACAAGAAAAAUAUUACAAAACAUUAUUUUAUGAUAAAAACAAUUUAAUUUAACCAAGAACGAUAUGAAAUAUAUUGAUUAAGAAGGUGAAGUUGGUAAAUUACAAAAAUGUUUUUGCAUACAAAACCGGUUGUAAAAUAGUAAAUAAGUGGAGAUUUUUUUGCUAGUAAUUUUAAACUAAGAGCUUGAUAUCAUGUAAAAUAGCAGAAUGUCAUCGGUUAACGUACGAUCUUAUUUGAUUUAAAGAGCACAUACUUUAUGUUAUUUGUUUAAAGCACUUGCUGUAAAUGACUUAAAUUGUUUAUAAUUUUUUCUAUCCAUCAUCUUUUGCAAAUUAAUGUCAACAUCUAGUGUAUAUAUUCUAACGAUAGGUAAAAAGAUGAAGAGUAGAAACCUGAACGAUAGGUAAAAUCUUCUAUUCUUUUUUUCUUUUUUUUCUGUCAACUGGUCAGCCAAUUAAAAUCUAUUGAAACACAAUCUCAUAUUCAGGCCUUUAAAUUAGCAACUAUUAAUUGAAUUACGACUAUUAAGUAUGAUGGGUAAUACAUUUUCCCCACUGUUUCUAGUGAACUAGAAUUUUUUUUUUGAAACUAUAAACAUAUGCAAAAAAUUGGUAUUUUAGGUUGAUAUAUAUAAUAUUUUUGGACCAAUAUAUAUUGAGUUGGAAUUUUUUUUUGCGUUGAAAUAUAUAUAUUGUUUUAAUUGGUAUUUUAGCUUUGAAAUAUAUUAUGAAUGAGAAUAAAUAGUUUUCUCACAUAUUCAAAGUUAGUAUCACCUUUGAGUUGGAAUCAUGCGCUUAUACAAAAGUGAUUCAUGGUGACUUCAACGUAAAAUACCAAUUUUGCAUAGAUUGGGUAAUGCCUAUAUAUCCACCAUAUGAAUAUUUAAUAUUGUAGAUGUUGCUCGAAUGCUAUUAUGGACGAGCGCGGUUCCCUCAUUUAUUAUUUGAAAUAUAGAUAUUGCUCCAUUGAAGAAUAUUGGGUAUUGACAAAAUAUAUACAUUGGAUAAUGUAUUAAUUUUUAACGGAAACGAAGGUGACACGUACAUGUACUCAAUCAACAAGAUGAGUUAUUCAUAAUGUAAUGAAAUGGGACAUAUCAAAACUUGAGUGGUAGAGUUGCAAACAGUUUGAAAGCAACCCUCCUUCUAACUAAAUCUGAUAUAGCUCCACUUUAUCGGUCGUCCUUAUAGAACAUGUGGUUGCAAACUUAGUACAUAUAGAGUUUUCGAUAAUUUUAUUCAUUCACCACAAAUAUAAUUAUACAAGUUUCAUAUGUCAUAGUGAUAAUCUUCUAAACUUUACCUUAAAGUAUAAUUGUUCACAUAUUAGCUUCCCGCAUAACCAACAUGAAGAAUAGGUUAGACAGUACUAAAUUUCCGUAUAUAUGCGUCAGUAGAUUGGUGUAAUGAUACUUCUCGUACUCUCUUCUUUGGAGAUAUGCUUGUUUCAUUUUCUCAUCAUUUAUUUAUGCGCAAAAUACCCUGAACUACCAUUAGCUUAUACUUGAUUUUAUUUUUGUUAUAAUUGAUUGUUGCCGGAGAUCACCUCUUAAAUAGUGAGGUAAGAAACUACCUAGUAGCCGAAGUUUAUCCUCAAUAGUAACUAACUAUUAACUCCUAAAUAAUAUAUAAUCCCGAUAGUAUAAUCAUCGGCUAAUAUUUUAGUGUUAUAUAGUCUCAAUGAUUUUAUAUAGUAACAGGUGGUGCUUUUAAAUUUGUAUUUUAAAACUAAAACUCCCCAUCGCAUCAACAAUUCCACUUCAACUUUGUGCCAGAUGUCUCGGCAACAAAUAGGAAUUUACAUGAAUGUCAUUUUCAUUGUAUUUUUGUAUGGGUUUAAUUUCUUUACAUAUUAUUGUCAAUUCAUUUAAUUUCUAAAUGCCGCUGACCCCAAUCACAAACUUGAAUCAAUGUCUGCUGUUGAGACAUGACAAUACUGAACUGCCAUGUGUCCUCCAAAUUUGAUAAAUCCCUCCUCAAUUAUUGACACAUUACUUAAUAUUUACUUAUUUAGUGAAAAAUGAAAAUGUAUGGUUUGCAUUUAAUGAUUUGUUAAACAUUUUUUUUACUGUUCCUUUUACUCUGUUCGGAAAGAAAUUUUUUAGUUUUCUUUACACGUCAAGCUUCACAAAUUCCUCCGCACCACACAUGAAAACCUGGGGUUACGGAUGUGGAAAAUGUUAAAAGUAACCUAAUAUAAAACAUGUGAUAUAUUACGGAUUUUACCAAUUUUAGCCGUGAUAUAUGUGUCAGUUUUAGAGUCUUUUUGUUGUAUGGUUUGCAUUUAAUGAUUUGUUAAACAUUUUUUUUACUGUUCCUUUUACUCUGUUCGGAAAGAAAUUUUUUAGUUUUCUUUACACGUCAAGCUUCACAAAUUCCUCCGCGCCACACAUGAAAACCUGGGGUUACGGAUGUGGAAAAUGUUAAAAGUAACCUAAUAUAAAACAUGUGAUAUAUUACGGAUUUUACCAAUUUUAGCCGUGAUAUAUGUGUCAGUUUUAGAGUCUUUUUGUUGUUUCUAGAGUUUUUUGAGUAUUUUCAGGUUUUUACACGUUCGGAACAAAUCUGGAGAUAAGGAACCAUUCUGGAGCUAAACCGGAGAUUUAGAGCUGAAAAAAAGAUUUCGGUGUCAGACCAAGGCAUGAGUGUCGACCGACGCCCUUUGGUGUCGCUCGACACCACACGAGACCCAACAAAAAGUCUCGACGGUUUGGAGUUUUUAAAGCCCGAAGAAUCAACCCAGACAACUUCCCUAUUUGCAACUUUAGUCCCUGCACAUUUUUGGAGACUUUAUAAAUAGUUUUUAGGGUUUUUCUAUUUCAUUAUCUUAGAUCUUGCUUUUUGCUUUUGGCUUUGUAAUUCUCUGAGCUUGAACCCUUUGGAAGAAAAUUGGAAAGAGCAACUUUUCAGAUAUUUCAAAACCCUGUAGAGAGAAUAUUUAUUCUAAACUCUUUUCUUCUUUUGAUUUCUUAUUUUACAAUUUAUUUAAACAUAUUUUCUGUUUCAUUAAUCAUGUCUGAGUAAUCACCCUGUUAGGUUUAGAGAUUCUCAUUAGGGAUUUAGAUGAAUUAGUAAAUCGAUUUUCUGUUAGGAUUAAUCUAUAGAGUUCUUCACCUUAGGUUGUUCUUAAUGCUAGUUCAAGAGUAGCUAACUAGAACUUGAUCAUAGGAUAAUAGGUUUUGAUCCGAGAGAGCGCCUGUUACUGGAACUAUCUUAGGUGGGUAAAGAUUUCUAGAUACAUUCGAGAGGAGGUCUAGGAAUAUUUGUGAACAUAUAUCAAACCUGUUUUUAAUGCUAGUUUAGAUCUAGGAGUUCGCAUUCGAGAGGGUGGAAUUACCUGAUAUUAGACUAGUUAGUCAAUGUAUCUGAGAGGAGGUUGGCUAUACAUUUGUGUUUUGAGUUCUAGAACGGUUCGAUAAUAAUCCUAAUUAAUUUGCUAGAUUUACUAUUAGUUUAUUUUCUGAGAAUAUCCCUAAAUCUGACGCUUUAAUCCAUUUGAAUUUUCACCUGAUUUAAUUGCUUGUUUUUAUUUGAAUUUGCUUAAUAUUCUAUUUAGCCUAAUUUCGAAAUUGUUAGCUUACUGUGUGAACAAAAGAACUUUGUGGAAUUCGACCCUAAAGUGCUGCAAUUGUUCUCUUAUUUGAGAGAGUAGUCUAUAGGUCUAAUUUAACUCAUAUAUAUCAAAUUUGGCGCCGCUGCCGAAGUUCUUGGGAAUCACCAUUAAGUUUAGUUUAAAAAUUUUGUCUAAAUUUUACUUUUCUUUUGAUAGUUUCGCGUUUCUUUCUUUCCUUUUUUCUUGUGUUUCAGGUGCAUGCCUAACCGCAUAACUUGGAGCAGCAAAGAAAAAGACCUCGUCAAUUUGACUACACUUGAAUUGGCAUAGUUAGAACGCACCAACCGCAAAGCUCAAAAAUCAUCAACAAUGGUUCGUGGAGAAAUCAGAGCUAAUGAACUAGGGGUUUUGAGAGAUGACGAUGGACAAGCCUACAAUGAGGCUGGACAACGAUUGGACGAUCAUGGGAUUGUCAUGCCCGAGGAUCUGAUUGUGGAUGAUCCAAACAUCCGGAAUCCUGAUCCACCAAACGCUGUGGCUGAUCACGUCCUCGGUGUGGAACGACACCACCAGGGUGUAGCUCGACACCCCCUCCCAGCAGACGUGCAGAUCAAAGCUGGCCAGCAGGGCCGCCAACAGCCGCCUGUCACGGCAGAACAUCAGUUAACUCUUAGAGACUACAACAUGCCAGACCUGUUCUAUGCUAUUCGAUCAGCGAUCGUACCCCCCGCUUUUCAGAGAAACGACUUCGAGCUAAAACCCGCAUACUUUACUCUUGUAGGACAACAUCCUUUCCACAGCUUCUCUAAUGAACAGCCAAUGGACCACAUCGAGCGCUUUGAGGAUUUGGUAUCUAGCAUUAAGGCUAAUGGAGUUUCAGAUGACUAUCUUCUCUGCAAGCUCUUCCGAUACUCACUUGCUGGGGAAGCAGCUUCUUGGUUAAAGCAGUUGAAACCAGAAUCUUUGACUAGCUGGAGGAAGAUCAAGGUAGCCAUUUUGAACAACUUCUAUGAUGAUGGUAAGUCUGAGGAGCUGCGCAACAAGUUGUCUACAUUCACUUAAAGACCAGCAGAAGCAUUUAAAGUUGCUUGGGUCAGAUUCAAGAAGUACCAACAAGAUUGCCUGCAUCACGGUUUCAGUGAAGUUCAGCUCAUAGGUACAUUCUUCAAGGGAGUUGAUUAGAGAUAUCAGAUUGCUUUGGAUGCUGCAAGAAAUGGCAACUUGAACACCAGGUACCCCGACGAUGUUGUAGCUUUAAUUGAGAAUCUCGCAUGUAGCAAUAGCACGAAGAAUGCAGACUUCGAGAGGAAGAAGAUUGCAGGCGCGAUUAUAGGUACUCAGUAUGCAGAGGUUAAUGCCAAGUUGGAUUAAGGCCAUAGCCACCUCACGGGAAAGAAAGCUGUCUACUUUGGUGCCAAAGUUGAAACUACUGAGCCAGAAGAAGAGUAUGAAGAAGGAGUAUUCUACAUUGAUGGCCAAGGAUACAGGAAAUUCGGGCCUCCAUAGGGUAACUUCAGUGGUCAGAGAUUCACAGCGAAUCAGAACAACUCCGGUUUCAACAACAGGCCAGCGUUUCAGAAGACAUAUCCGCAAACUAGUAGCUUCCAAAGAACAUACGGGAAUACGACCUACCAGAACCCACCUGCACCCACUCCCGAGACUAAGAUGGAGACGAUGCUUGAGCAGAUUCUAGAGGGGUAGACAAAGCUUACGGUUGAGUUCAACGGGAAGUUUGAUGCCAUAUACUUUUAUUUGAAUGGCAAGAUUGACACUUUGAACACUCACAUGAAGAAGCUCGAUGUUCAAGUUGCUCAAACUACCGCCGAUGUUAAGAGACAAGAUGGUGUUCUUUCUGGUAUGCCUGAUGCUAACCCCAAAAGAGCCUGCAAUGCGAUACUGGUCCGAGAUGGAGAUGAUGUUUGGGACGAAUUGGACACUGACGAUGAGCAUGAGCUCGCUGCUGUAGAGACAGUGUCGACCGACACCCCCUGGUGUCGAUCGACACCCACUCGAUACCCAUGGAGAACAAUGUUCGACGAAUCGUUGUCGACCGAUACAGCUUUGCGAAGCUCGAUAGCAACCCUCAUUGUCGACCGACGCCACCAUGGUGUCGAUAGACACUAUCUCGACAACGAAGCAGUUUCGAUGUGUGACGGACAGAGAUCGACCAGGCACGACACAGAGGAGUCGCACCAUAUCAGAGUGUCGACCGACACUCACCUAGUGUUGAUCGACACUGGGUUCGCACAGCUCCUUAUGCCAUCAUCUUUCCACCUGCAAAGCCUGUCUACACGCCUCCAGUCCCUUUUCCUAAGAAGCUUCGCUCUAAGCAAGAGAUUCAGGAUGCACGCUGCAAGGCUAUCAUGGAGAAGAUCUUGACUACUAUUCCUAAAGUCAAUCCCGAGAGAUCUUCGCCUCCACUUGAGAGGUAUGUCAAGAGAUUGGUCAACAAUGGAAUCUGUGCUGAAGAGGCUGCGUUGCUCACAAAAGAUAUCAACUUGAUUGUGCUGCAAGAAGCCAAGAAAGAGAGGAAGAAGAAAGUGGUUGUGUCUGAACACAUUAGCUCGAUCAUUUAGAGUAGGAUGCCUGAAAAGCUACCUGAUCCAGGAAGCUUUUUUCUUGAUUGCUCCAUCUCUACAGGCCGGUUCAGUAAAUCUUUGUGUGAUCUUGGAUCCAUCAUCAAUCUGAUGCCACAUUGAGUUGUUGUGCGCCUUGGUAUGACUGCUUACAGGCCAACAUGGAUUACUUUGCUUCUCACGGAUUGUUCUAAGCGAAUUCUCGAAGGAAUCUUGGAAGAUGUUCCUGUACAGAUUGGUGAAUGUCUCAUACCUGCUGAUUUCGUAGUACUGGACUACGAUGAGGAACCCAAGGAUCCUCUUAUCUUGGGUAGAGCAUUCUUAGCCAUAGCUGGUGCAAAGAUUGAUGUGAAGAAGGGAGAGAUUUCGUUGAAUGUAUGUGAUGUGAAGAUGAAUUUCGACAUGAAAGGCUCAAGUACACCUCCAAUACUUAGUGGUAAGUCAUUCUCUAUUGAAUCUACACGGGAAUCUGCGGAGGAAUUGGAUUCUACUGCACCUACAGAAGCCGCUACUGCAACUCAGUAUCGUUCAGACGGACUAGUGUCGACCGACACCAACGACGAGCAGAGAAGCGGAUUUUGGCGAAAACUGUUGUUGGGACUGCAGACAAUGCCAAUUGUUCAGGAGCUGUUCCCGAUACAUACACGCCUUGAUCAGCAAAGGUAUUGCACAUCUCCUCCUCAUCCUUACCUUCUUCACUUAAUACUUCCAUAUCUUCGAAGAAGGCUUCACAGGUAAACGAGCCACGAGAUUCUCGAGUGAUUGUUUCUUCUGUUGUUGAUGCAGGAAACGGAACAACGGACGCUGCAGCUUCUACCAGUUUCCUUGGACAUGAGCACGCCUCCAACGCUUAUGCUCCACCAUGGAUGGCUAGGCGUCGGUCUUCUGAGAAGUCUUCAAACACUUUUUCCGCUCCACCUUGCUCCUGAAACCCGACAUAGUCAAGCUAAUGACUGAAAAUAAGCGCUUAGUGGGAGGCAAUCCACUGGUAUGUUUUUUUGUUUUUCUUUUAUUUUAUUGAUGUUUUUCUUUUUAUUUUAUUUUCGCUAACUCCGGAUUUGAAUGCCACUGGAACAGUGUCGUUUAAGUCUGGGAGCGGCAGUUACUAAUUAUGUUUUUUUUUUUGAGUCUUAUUUUUAUUUUUCUUUUUCUUUUGAGUCGUUUUAUUGAGUCAAAAUUUUGUUGGAAAUUUUGAUCUUUUUCUCUAGAUUAUUGCCUGGUUAGUUUAAUGCUGUAGAUUAAAAUCAAUCCGACUAAUGGAAAAUCCAAAGAGUUAAUCAAUAGACCAGAGGACAUCCACGUUUUCAACACAAUCCGCUAAAGCCUGAGCAAAGUUCAUGCUCUUCACCUCGUCAAUACGGUUAGUAUUUUCAGAACUUGACUCCUCGUUCAUACCUGAUAAAUGAGACCAAUGUGGAAAAAGAAUGGUAUUUCUCUCCAUUAUAUUAAAAAAAAAAACGAAAAAAAAAGAUUGAGAUGAUUUUCUUUUGGAGUAAAGAGAUAAGAAAAUUUCCCGUUAUCUCAUUAUUUUACUUCCAAAGGAAUGAUCACACAAAAGUUGGAUGCGAGGUUAGGAACAUUUCCGAUGAUACCAUUAUUCGUCUACACCUUUGUCAAAAAAAAAGAGAAUUAGUUUGGGGGAGGGAAAGAAUACCAAGGAAAUAUUGAAAUGGUUGAUUUAUCAUAGUAUAGUACGGGAAUGAGUCCAGAAGGUUCUUGAGUACUGAUUUUAUUGAUGAGAUUUAUGCGAUGAGGGCUAUAGGAUAUAGUUGUGGAAUUUGGUUUGGAAUUUGGAAUGUUGAGAAUGCUUGCAGAGAAUUACAUGGUGGUUAGGAUUUGAUGCGAUCUGCUAGGCAUUUGGAUUUGGUUUGAAUAAUAACGGUAAUAGGCUAGAGAAAUUGGGAGUUUCUGUGUUUUCAAACUUCUUACACAGGUUCGGUUUUUGUGUUUUGCUUGAGGGCAAGCAAGAGCUAAUUCUGGAGGAGUUGAUAUAUCACGGAUUUUACCGAUUUUAGCCGUGAUGUAUGUGUCAGUUGUUGAGUCUUUUUGUUGUUUCUAGAGUCUUUUUGAGUAUUUUCAGGUUUUUACAAGUUCGGGACAAAUCUGGAGAUAAGGAACUAUUCUGGAACUAAACCAGAGAUUUAGAGCUGAAGAAACGAUUUCGGUGUCAGACCAAGGCAUGAGUGUCGACCGACACCUUUUGGUGUCGCUCGACACCACACGAGGCCCAGCAAAAAGUCUCGACGGUUUGGAGUUUUUAAAGCCCGAAGAAUCAACCUAGAAGACUUCCCUAUUUGCAACUUUAGUCCCUGCACGUUUUUGGAGACUUUAUAAAUAGUUUUUAGGGUUUUUCUAAUUCAUUAUCUUAAAUCUUGCUUUUUGCUUUUGGCUUUGUAAUUCUCUGAGCUUAAACCCUUUGGAAGAGAAUUGAAGAGAGCAACUUUUCAGAUAUUUCAAAACCCUGUAGAGAGAAGAUUUAUUCUAAACUCUUUUCUUCUUUUGAUAUCUUAUUUUGCAAUUUAUUUAAACAUGUUUUCUGUUUCAUUAAUCAUGUCUGAGUAAUCACCCUGUUAGGUUUAGGGAUUGUCAUUAGGGAUUUAGAUGAAUCAGUAAAUCGAUUUUCUGUUAGGAUUAAUCUAUAGAGUUUUUCACCUUAGGUUGUUCUUAAUGCUAGUUCAAGAGUAGCUAACUAGAACUUGAUCAUACGAUAAUUGGUUUUGAUCCGAGAGGGUGCCUGUUACUGGAACUAUCUUAGGUGGGCAAAGAUUUCUAGAUACAUUCGAGAGGAGGUCUAGGAAUAUUUGUGAACAUAUCAAACCUGUUUUUAAUGCUAGUCUAGAUCUAGGAGUUCGCAUUCGAAAGGGUGGAAUUACCUGAUAUUAGACUAGUUAGUCAAUGUAUCCGAUAGGAGGUUGGCUAUACAUUAGUGUUUUGAGUUCUAGAACGGUUCGAUAAUAAUCCUAAUUAAUUUGCUAGAUUUACUAUUAUAUUAUUUCUUGAAAAUUUUCCUAAACCUGACGCGUUAAUUCAUUUGAAUUUUCACAUGAUUUAAUUGCUUGUUUUUAUUUGAAUUUGCUUAAUAUUCUAUUUAGCCUAAUUUUGAAACUGUUAACUUAUUGUGUGAACAAAAAAAUUUUAUAGAAUUCGACCCUAAAGUACUGUAAUUGAUCUCUUAUUUAAAAGAGUAGUCUAUAAAUCUAAUUUGACUCGUAUCAACAUGCAUGCUUUUCAAAGAAAUUCUUGUUUGUUAGUAUGCAAGUUAGACGGACGCAAAUACCAAACUUUGACAAACAAAUAUAGAAAUAUAUAUAUAUAUUUUUUUCUUCUUCUUUUUUUUGAUAAAAAGGGAGAAAGAAAUAGUUAUUGCGUAAAUAUAUGUUGUUGUUUUCAACUUUUCAAAUUAGUAAUGUUUUAUUUGUUACAAGCUCGAAAAAGAAAAAAAAACGAAAUUUAUUAGUUAGGUUAACAUACAUUUUUUUAUAGAUUGGAUAUUGAACAUACGGUUCAAACUUUAUAUAUUAAAAUUAAUAAACAAAGAGUUGUGUAUCUUUCUAAAACAAACAAAAUUUUAUGUAUUUUUCUUAAAAUUGAAAAACACUUGAUGUAUUUUUAAGGAAUUUUUUUUUUUUUUAAUUGUAUAGAAAUAAACAAACGACGAUGGGAAAAAUGUCGAAAAAUGCGCGAACUUUCAAAUUUGGGACGAAAAAAACAUGAACUUUCGAAAUGUCAUUUAAAUCAUAAAGUUUAGGUUGACUUUUUGACAAAAUAGUGAAGUUUAGUUUGACUUAGUCAUUUCGGGCAUGCCGUUAAAUUUCCGUUAACCAGAAGAUGAAGGUGUUAAAUUUCAGUUAGAACUCUCUGUUGAGUCUAAACGACGUCGUUUUGAAACUCUGAAACAACGUCGCUUCAUUAGAAAAUAAGAUGGAAACAAUGCAUUCAUGGAGAAUCGAACAGCUGACCUACUAGACUAUCGAGAGAUGGUCAACCAUUGCGCUACAAUAACAUUAUGAUAUUAUACCAAACAGAACAUAUAUAUAUUAACAAAUAAUUAUGUACAAUUAACUAAAACUAUAUACAAUUAGUUAACAAUAACAAAACUAGAAAAAAUUAUUACCAAACAGAUACAAAUAUUAAAUAUACUUAAAUAAAUAAAUAUUUUGAAAUUUCAAAUACUAAUUUUAUAUAUAAAGAUUUCUUCUUUAUUUGGAAAAUUAUUUUUUCCUAAAUUAUAAAAAACAAAACUGAAACUUAUAGAGUAUAGAAAAUUAAAUAUAUGACAUAAAACUUAUUCAAUCUUUCUAACAUAAAUAUAGGAUUAAAGAUUGUAUAAAUUAUAGGAUUAAAGAUUGUAUAUUAUGUGAGAAGGAUUGUAUAAAUUUUACAUUUAUGUGAGAAGGAUUGUAUAAAUUUUAUGUCAUAUAUUUAAUUUAAUAUAUUCUAUAAGUUUCAGUUUUGUUUUUUAUAAUUUAGGAAACAAUUUUUUUUAAAUAUAGAAGCAAAUUUUAUAUAUAAAAUUAAAUAUUUAAAAUUUCAAAAUAUAUAUUUAUGGUAAGUAUAUUUAAUAUUUAAAAUUGUACAUAGUUAUUUGUUAGUAUAUAUAUGUUCGGUUUGGUACAAUACCAAAAAAUUAUUGUAGCACAACGGUUGAGCGCCUCUCAUUAGUCCAGUAGGUCAGCUGUACGAUUCUCGGUGGAUGUUGUUUUUCCAUCUUAUUUUCUAAUAAAACGACGUCGUUUCAGAUUUUCAAAACGACGUCGUUUUGAUUCAACAAAGAGUUUUAACAAAAAUUUAACACCGUGAUCGUCUGGUUAACGGAAAUUUAACGGUAUGUCCGAAAUGGCCAAGUCAAACUAAACUUCACUAUUUUGUCAAAAAGUCAAUUUAAACUUUAUGAUUUAAAUGACAUUUUGAAAGUUCAUGUUUUUUUCGUCCCAAAUUUGAAAAUUCGCAUGGGUUAUAAUGAUUAAAUGCCAAAGGCUUGCAUGGGUUAUAAUGAUUAUUGGGAAAAUUGGAUAUAAAAAAUAAAUAAUUAAAUUAUUAUUCAUCUAUGCAUUCUAUAUUUAUAAUUGAUCAUAUAUGUUUUAAUAUUGGUUAUGCUUUAAUAUAAUUAAAAUCACAUUUUGUCCCUAGUUAUUUUAAAUCACAUUUGACAUCGGUGCAAGUUUCUUGUACUAUCCACGAGACCCCAAAAGCAAUUAAUGACCUUUGUAUUGUUCUUUCAGAGGCAAUAAUGUAAAUUAUAAAAAAAAAAUCCUAUUUUAUUUUAUUUUUACUAAACAAAAGAAAAACACUCUAACAAAAUCCUAUUUUAUUUUAUUUUUACUAAACAAAAGAAAAACACUCUAACAAAUAAACAAAUAAUCUGCCAUUGUCACAUGAGUCACAUCCAUUUGACUACACGAAAUGCACUCACUGUAGAUAAAUUUAAAUAAGGUGAAUAUCCCAUGCACCACUGUAUAUGGUACAAAAAGAGAGCCUUUCUUCCUCAUUUUACCACUCUUCUAAAACAUAUUUCUCGUCUUCUCUCAAGUUCUUCAAGAGAAAACAAAAAGAACUGCAAAGAGAAUUGGUGUGACUGAAAAUGGGAGUGGAAGGAACUAUGGAGUAUAUAUCGGACUUUUUGAAGAAGAGGAAGAGGAAGAAGAAGAAGCAACUGCAAACAGUAGCUCUCCGAGUUGCUCGUAUCGACUGCGAAGGUUGUGAACGUAAGAUCAAACAUAUCCUCUCCGGUGUCAAAGGUAUGUAUUUAGAUAUAUGUACGUAUGGUUUAACAUGAAAGCCGAAGGCGUAUCCACUUUAUGUAUAAUUAUAAAAAAAAAAAAAAAAUUAUAUAAGAAAUCAGUUUUAGGCAACCACCAUGAUCCAUUAAUGGUUAGAGAUUUGCCAUGUUGGUCGAAGCCACGGAUCGAAUUCAUUCCACUACUUUCCAUCUUAAUUGACAACAAAAUUUGGUAUUUUGUAUAUGCCCGGUCUAAAGCAUAGGCAAAGAAAAACAUUAAUAUUUCGGAUCCGACAUUUUUUAAAUGCCAACUUUUAGAAAAGUAAAGGUAAGAAUAACUCAAGCUAAAGGGUAUCACUUUUAAAUUUCGAGUGGACAUCUGGAAACAUUAGACCGGCCCCGGAUUGGUCUCAAUUACUUUGUGUUUGGCUCUUUGAUGUCAAAAACUUUGGUUUUCUUGAAUCUCAUCAUGAAAUAUGUGUUUUAGGUAUUUUUGAAUAUAUAUCACAUUUUGGACCAAUUUUAGUCAGACACUACGAUAGAACUCUGAUUAUCCGGUGCUAUUUACAAUUUAUAGACUCGUUGCACUUUAGAAAAUGUGACUCCUAAGAAAAAAAAAUAUGAAAAAUGGAUUUAAUUUUUUUUUGACUCAUUUGGACAGGGGUGAAGUCAGUGGACGUAGACGUGAAGCUGCAAAAGGUAACGGUAACGGGAUAUAUAGAGCCGAAGAAGGUUUUGGAGGCGGCCAAGUCAACGAAGAAGAAAGUGGAGUUAUGGCCUUACGUUCCUUACACAAUGGUGGCGAAUCCGUACAUAUCUCAGGCGUAUGACAAGAAGGCACCACCAAACAUGGUUCGGAAAGUCCCCGACACAACCUCUGUCAACGAGACCACCGUCGAUGACUCUUACACCAUUAUGUUUAGCGAUGAGAAUCCUAAUUCUUGCAUUAUCAUGUAGAAGAGUGUACAUUUUGUUAUGGAUUUUGGUAAUAGUAUACGUAAUUAAGAAUCGUUGUAAAAAAAAAAAAAAAAAAAAAAAGAAUCGUUUUGUCUGUAACGUGAGAAAAUCGAAAUGUCUUUUGAUACUUAAUGGAAAUUUGAUAUGCCUCAAUAUUAGUUGUUUUAACAUAUAUAAGUUUAAUACCAAAACAGACCAAUAUAAUACAUAUAUUGGUUUAUGUCAAUGUGUCACUAUCCGAAUUGAAAACUCCAUAACACACGUUGUUGACAAAAAAAAAUUAUCAAAAAUAAUUAUAUCUUUUAUCAAUUAUCUUAUAUUAGUUUCCGAUUCUACAACUUCAAUCAAUUAUCUUAUAUUAGUUUCCGAUUCUACAACUUCAAGUAUUCAUACAAUAUCUAAAAACAUGUUAAAUAGAUGGGAUUGGCUUGAGGAUCAUAGAUCAUAUAGAUUUCUAGUUAGUAAAUUGAUGUAGUAUUUCACCAUCUCCAAACUUAACAUACCUUUCAUAGUUGACAAGUUAUUAUUAGUAAUGGGCCUAACUCAACACCCAAAAGCUAGCUCAAGGGAGGAGGUUUGCCUCAUACUAUAUAUAUUGCCCAAGGAUUUUAUUUCUUUCCAAUGUGGGACUCUAACACACCCUCCUCACGCUCAGGACUGGACAUCUGAAGCGUGAAGUUUGUGGGACUGGAUAUUCACGGAUGGUAGCCCACUUUCGAGAAAGUUGAACCUGGCUUUGAUACCAUAUUAGUAAUGGGUCUAACUCAACACCCAAAAGCUAGCUCAAGAGAGGAGGUUUGCCUCAUACUAUAUAUAUAUUGUCCAAGGAUUUUAAUUUAUUUAUUUCCGAUGUGGGACUCUAACAGUUAUGUCAGUACUUAUUUAAUUUGAAUCAGAAUCAGAAUCAGAAGAUAAAUCGAAACUACUUGAAUGCAUUUUUGCACAUAUUAUACCUUCAAUUUUGAAAAGACACUGUAGAAUCGAAAAAAAUGAGGCAGAAGAAGAAGGAGCAUUGUCUCCGUUGAAGUCUGAGCUUGUUUGAUGACAAGGUGGGCCUGUGGUUGGGCCUGGGGAUGGGUUGAGUUGCAAUUGCAGUACUUUUUUCUUUUUUUUUAACGUAUAACAUGUUUGAUUUGUCUUCCAGUUGCAGUUUUAGUAAGGUGACUUUUCUCAAAUAACACAUUUUCAAAGAUUACUGUAUGUAACAAACAUGUUAAAUUAAAUUAAGCUACAUAAAAGCACUUUUUUUGCAGAAAAUUGUGGACAGAAAAAUCGCGAUAGCAGAAUCAAGUUUUAAGCCUAGCAUACAAACACAUGUUUUUAAUAAAAAGUUAUGGAACUCUGUGUUUUAAAAAAAAACAAAAUUAUAUAUAUUAGAUCGUGUUUUAGGGGAAAAACUGUGGAGUUGUAUUGUAUAUAAUUUUGGUCAAAUUAAAUGCAAAGCUGCGUUUUUUUUUGUCAACAAAUGCAAAACUGCGUUUUGGCAGAAAACUGUGUUUUGGCAAAAUAAUUGCAGUAUCAAAAUUUCAAUGGAAAUAGCGAGAAAAUAGCAUAAUUGUGUUUUGGAAAAAAAUAUUGUGGAUCUGUUUUAAUUCUUUUUUUUUUGGUUCGAAACGAUCACACAAAUUAUGAAGACGCAUACAUGUUUCAAAGGAUGAAGAACAUGUUGUUUUCUUAGAUGAUUUCUUGGCUGACAUGAAAUGUAUGAUCAAGAUUCAAUUCGGAGUUAGAUUUUCACUGAAUANNNNNNNNNNNNNNNNNNNNNNNNNNNNNNNNNNNNNNNNNNNNNNNNNNNNNNNNNNNNNNNNNNNNNNNNNNNNNNNNNNNNNNNNNNNNNNNNNNNNNNNNNNNNNNNNNNNNNNNNNNNNNNNNNNNNNNNNNNNNNNNNNNNNNNNNNNNNNNNNNNNNNNNNNNNNNNNNUUUAUUUUAGCGAGAUAUAGAUUUCGAAUUUUGUUUGCGGAGAGAUGUAUAGCCCAUCUGGUGUUAUACAAAUCUCUUUGUGUAAAAUUAGAUCAUUAGUCCAACCUUUUACCUAAAACAUUUAAAAUUUUCUUCGAUUUAAAGACAUUUUUGAGAGCAAACAUGCAAAGCUCCAUAAACUAAUAUUACUUGAGAUGAUCGCGUAGAGAUUGCGAACCAUAUAUGAUACAUGAUAGAUGCUUUUAAAUCCACGGGAACAGCUGAUAUCUAAACCUUUAGACCGCUCACUAAGAGGCAGCCCAAGAUAUCUUACCGACAAGCUUGCUUUCCUUAGGUUGAACUUUGUAUAUUUUCAUAAAAUACAUAUUUCGAAAAACAUAGUUUUUGUAUCAUUUACUUUUAUUAAAUUCCAAUUCCUAUAUCUUGGUGGGGAAUUAAAAAAAAAUAAAGGCGUCAUGCCAACACGUUGCAGCUUAGGAGACGAAACCAUAUAUGAACAUAACCCUUUACGAUGAAAAAAUAAAUACUAUAUUUAGUUCGUUAGAACAACAAUCAUGGUUUAUAUUAAAUAGGCUAAAUAAGUGUAUCGGAAGUCAUCAUAUUCGUUGGCACAUAUUCCUUCAUGGAUAAGAUCCCUUAAAUCAUUAACAAAUAGAAUCCAUUUAAUCAUACUUGGCUGCAAUCGUGACCGUCUGAAAGAUUGUAAUUUGAGGACGGCUAAAACAAAUAAAGCCUUGAAAAAACAAUAUAAAAAGAUCAAAAUAAAUUCGUAAUUCUCAAUAGGCAUUUUUCAAAAAAAAAAAAUUAUAAUAUGCCUUUUUCUACAUUUUUCUCCAAAAUAUGCCUUAUAUUCAUAAUAUAAUAUAGUUAGUUUACACAUGACUCCUUAUCAUUCUUACAACUUUUUCCAAGUUACUAGAAUCUGAAUUAUGGUACCAACAAAGUCUCUACAACUUUCUUUUCUUGAAAUCUAGUGAAAGAAUGUUGCUAUAGGUAUAUCAAAUGGCACAAAACUAGGUUCUUGAAACUCACAAAAAGUUGUUUGUAAAGUACUACAUAUUUUCAGUAUUUAAGUAGGUAUGAACAUGUAAAAAGAGUACCUUUGUAUGAUUGAUAACUAUCUUCCUUAAAAAUAUCAAAUUAAAUUACGAUAAUACAUAUAAUGUUUUUUUAUUACGGACAACUGUAUAUCGCUGUUAAAUUAUCUAGUUGUACCAGUUGAUAUAUAAAAAAGUUAGAUGAAAGUCUACUCACAGAACCGUAUGAUAUAUAUGAAAUUUGAUUCUGUAAAACUUGGCCAAAGCAAAAGGCUAAGGGCCAUAUUAAACAUCAAAAGAAUGAGUAUACUAAUACCACUCUUGAAGAAACCAUGAAGAAGACAAAGCCUUAAGGACUGAACUUGAACCUAGACAUUAUUAAGGCUAUAUGCAUUUUAUCCGACGUGGCGGCAUCUUUUCAGAUUCUGGGACCCACGUUUCACAACCUAAUUGGUCAAGAAUCUGUUGGUUAUACCGGGAAUACUGUAAUAAAUUGAUAAGUCAACCUCUAUUUUAUGUUGUGCACAUAAGUUGUUUUCAAGUAUAGUAAUACUAGGAACAUGUAUAGUUGCUAGAUAUUUCUAUAAUUUUAAAAUUUUAAAAUUUGUCCCAGAAAUAAAUAUUUAGGGAGAAACUUGGAAAAGACAAAAACAUGAAAGGACAAGAAGAUAUAUGUGUGACGUGAAUAUAUACAAUUUCACAUCUUUUCUAAUAAAUUGCAUACAAUAAUAUACUGUAUGUUACUAUAAUAAAUUGUUAAGUCAACCUCUAUUUUAGGUUGCCAAUGCACAUAAGUUGUUUUCAAGUAUAGUAAUACUAAGAAACAUGUAUAGUUGCUAGAUAUUUCAAAAAAUUUAAUUUAUUUUUAAAAGUUGUCUCAUAAAUAUAACUUUUUUAGGGAUGAACUUGGAAAACACGAAAACAUUGGAGGAUAAGAAGAUAUAUGUGUGACGAAUAUUGCAUACAAUUUCACACCUUUUCUAAUAAAUCUCAUACAAUAAUAUGUGUUACUAUAAUUAAUUGUUAAGUCAACCACUUUUUUGUAUGUUGCCAAAGGCACAUAAGUUGGUUUUAAGUAUAAAUAAAAGGUAAAAAGAUGAAUAGUUUUUUUUUUUGUCGUCUAGAUUUAUUAUUAAUUGCAAAUUAUGAGAACUGUUACAUAGACGAUUCUACAACUGACAAUUCCUUCCGACCCUUACUAGAUUCACGACAGACUACACUUCCUUCUUCGUAAUCUUGAUGAAUACCUUCAAUGAUCCACGACCUCGCUACACUUCCUUCUCUGCGUAGAAUCCUGGCGAACGGCUAUAAUUGUACAUCGCUGGAGAUCUCUUGCACACUUGCCUCCAUUAAUCUGCAAAUUUGUUAAUAAAUCGCAAUACCUGGGACUCGAACCCCAGACUUUUUGGUGUAGAAGCAUUAAUCAACCCUUGGUCAACCAAUGGGCCAAGGGGGCUUCCACAAAAAAAAAAAAAAAAAAAAAAAAAAAAAAAAAAAAAAAAAAAAAAAAAAAAAAAAAAAAAAAAAAAGAUGAAUA
rnacentral:lncRNA from 1 species